UUUAUCAAUUAAUCUGUUCAAAAAAUUACAAAUUUACAAACGAAUAUACUCCAAUCUAAGCAACACAUAUCACAUCAUCUUAUACAACACCAUAUCAUAUAUCAUCAAAUGUAUAUAAGCACAUAAGACAAUAGGAAUAUUAUAUGAUAUAUGUAAUCAUAAACUUGAAUGCGUAUAAAACCAAUAUGACGUAAACUCGGAUAGAUAUACAAUUUCUAAAGUUCCCAAGGAUAGUCUAUCAUCUGCUGCAAAAUCUUUUGCCAAUUCUUCCUAAUAUUAUGACCACAGUAAUCGGCCUGCCAAAGCAAAUCUGUGAUGGUUUUCACAAUAUGUAUAGACUUUUCGUUGAUCUCAUCCAUUGCGACCUUCAACAAAUAUUCUUCUCCAAGCACGAUAUCAAUGGUCCUCAUCAGUGACUUGAUCUUAAUUUCCAAUAGGCCCACAUCCCCACUUAUGUCGAUUGUACAAGGAGCAAAGAACAACAUUGUAUUUGUUAAUUUCUUCUACUUUUUCACCUUUUCCUCAUUAUGAUUCCAACGCUCGUCGCACCAUUUCCAGGGCGAAACUAUAGCAACUGUCAAUACACUAGUCAAAGCAGUCACUACAAGCUUCACGGACAAGGCUGCUCCCACCGCGGAAAAAACCAACACAGAUAUGAAAGCAGCAACAAACAAGGCAUCCGAAACCCUCCUCCAUGUUUCCAAUGACUCCCAUUUCUUUUCGAGCGUUCCUCUCCAAGCUCGCAUCUUCCAUUGCAUCGAUUCUUGCCGCCAACGGGUCGUGCCUUUCAGUACAAUGAACUCCUUAAGGCUCUUCAGCUGUUUUGAACCUCCUCAAUUCCUCCAAUGCCAUAACGGAUUUCUUCUCGUCGGUCCCGACUUCUAAUUUGUCCUCUUCAUCGUAACACUUAACUGCCAACUCAAUGAUUCCAUGAUUGUUUCGAGCAUGCUCGAGGCAAUUCUUAAGGGCAGUACAGAACUCUAUAGUCUUUUUGAAGUGGUCAUAGAAUUCGUUCACCAAAGGCUUCAAGCCCGAAUCGACUGCGAAUAUGUCAAUGAUAAGAUCAGUAUGAUCCCGAGGAGUUGAACCAUGUCUACAAGCUGCCCUGUCGGAGCUCGAUCACCAUUCAAGACAAGCAGAUGAUACCAUCAUGGCUGAUAAAAGAUUCAAAUACUAACACAGAAAUGAUGAGUUUAUAACCUUCAAUAAUCCACAAAUCUAAGUUGUUACAAGCCCAAUUUGUCCAGCCCAAAUACAAAACCCAACUAACCCCCCCCCCCAAAAAAAAACUAAUCAGCCCAAUUACAAACCCUAGCCCACUAUCCUAAACUUCUCCAAGAAACCCUAGCCCCCUAUGUGUGCCGCCCCUACUGUCUACCACCAUCACCUGCUCCACCGCCCCAACUGCUCCUGCAAGAGAAAAAGAGAAAAGACAGCAACAAAUAAUAAUAAAACUUGUAAAAAAGGAUGGCUAUAAGAAAGCCAUUUGAAAAUCAUGUAAAAGGGAGGACUUUUUGGAAUACAAAAAAACUUGAAAACAAAAGCAAAAGCAGAGAAUCAAGAAAUCAAGCAAGGUGUUUUUAUUUUUUUCUUUAUUUCUUCUUUUUUCUUUUUGAAGCAUUUUUUACAUAUUUUAAAAAAAAUAAUAAUAAAAGAAAAGGACGGGGUUCACCUUCUGGUUCGCCGAAGAAGGAGAAACCGAAAGGUUUUCUCACUUUUGCCCGAUUUUGGUUGAGAUCUUGGUGUUUAUAACCCCGUAACGAGAUUCUAUGCGAGAAGGGGACAAAAAAUAGGCUCUUUUUUAUUUCACCGGCCACCGUGGAUGGCGGCACCGUCGCCGGCGACCGGCGGUCCAUGGUGGCGUCGAUGCAGGAUGGCUGGCCGGAGUUUAGAGAGAGUUAAGAGAAGGUGGAGGGCUGAUUCUGUUUUUUUUUUUAAAUGAAUGAGAGAAAUGAAAUUUUUUAAAAAAAAAAACUAGCUUAAAUAGGGCAUUAAAACGGCGUAGUUUUGGAAUGGCCUGAAACGCCCCAAAACGACGUCGUUUUGGGGAUGAUCGGUCCUACCCGACCCGCCCUUAGGGAAUCCGAGUGUUUUUGUUUAAAAGGGGCUAUUUGCGUAUUUGACCCAUUCGCUUUUUUUUAGUUUUAUAAUUAAAUUUUUCGUAUUUCUAAUUUUUCCCAGAAAUUUUGUUUUUGUUUCAUUUCGGUCCCUCUUGAUGCUGUUAAUUUUGGGAGGAUGGGAUAUUUCCCAUUUUGGUCCUCCUUCGUUAACUGCCCGCCCAAAUCGGUCCUAUUCUUUAUUUUUUAUUCCAAAUCUGCCCCAAAACUUCACUUUAAGUUUAAUUUAGUCCCCUUUUUGUUAAUUUAAUUUAAUUAAUUAAUUUAAGAUGUUACUAUUAUUCAUAUUUUCAUCAUCAUUAUUAUUAUUAUCCUCAUUAGUAUAUUAUUAUUAUUUUUACUAUUAUUAUUAUUUUCACCAUUGCUAUUAUGUUUUAACAUUAUUAUUUUCUAUUAUUAUCAAUGUUUAUAUUAUUAUUAUUUAUUAUCAAUAUUAAUAUUAUCAUUGCCGUUUUUAUUACUAUCAUUAUUAUUAUUUACUAUUGUUUAUUAUCAUUAUUAUCACCAUUCCUUACUAUUUGCUAUUAUUAGUAUUACUAGUUUCAUUAUUGUUAUCACUAUUUUUAUUACUACUUAUAUUAUUACUCCUUUUAUUAUUAAUAUCCAUUAUCAAUAUUAUUGUUACUAUUAUUAUUAUUAUUGUUAUUUCUCAUGAAUAUAUUGUUAUUUAUAUUAUUAUCAUUAUUACUACUAGUAUUAUUUCUUAUAACUAUUAUGCUGUUACUGUUACCAUUACUAUUAUUAUUAUUAUUAUUAUUAUUAACAUUCUUUAAUUAUUGUCACUAUCAUAUUUUUUUUAUUUAACAUAUUAUUGUUACUAAUUUUUUAUUAUCAUUACUACUAUCUUAUUAUUAUUAUUAUUAUUAUAUUUUCAUCUACAUAGAUUUUCUUGUUACUUACUUAUUUAUAUUUCUAUCUAUUUAUAUUUUCGUUGUUAUUAUAUUUUAAGCAUUAUAUCUGUAUUAUUAUUUCACUAUUGUUAUAUUUUUCAUAUUUUAUUAUCAUUACUAAUACUAUCAUUUUUUAAAUAGUUUUACAUAAUAUUUAUUUAUUUACUACUAGUUCUUUCUAAUUUCAAAUAUAAUUUUUUAGCUUAUUUAUUAUUUCUUUUUUAUUUUUAUUCAUUUUACCCAUUUGUUUUAUCUUUUCUCUUAUCAUUAUUAUCGUUCACAUUCGUGUUUAUGUUUAUUCUGUUAUGCUCGUCAAUACUAAAAUUUUUAUUUGUUUAUGCAUUCUCUAUUAUCUCGUUUUAUUACCAAUUUAUGUUUUAUCCAAUCCAAAAAUUAAUUCUUUUAUAAAGGCAAUGAUCCGUAUUUGGAAUUUCGAGAAAAUCGUGCCCUAACUUACUAGGUUACGAUUUUUCUCAUUUAAUCUAAAUAACGGAAUAUUCUUUUAAAAUCGCAACACGAAUUUUGAAUAAAAUGCUUAUUCUCGGAGAUAUGAGGUGUUGUGUCCUAACUUAUUGGAUAUGGCAUCUUGUUACCUCGGGAUAAGAUUUUUGCUAACAAAGGCAAUAUUCGGUAUUUGGAAGUUCGAGAUAUCGUGCCCUAACUUACUAGGUUUUGAUUUUUCUCGUUUACCUUAAAUAAUCGAAUAUCCUUUUAAAAAUAGGUAAAAUACACGAAUUUUAAAUAAAAAGGCAAGCUCAUCUUCAAAAGUUCAAGAUGCCGUGUCCUAACUUACUGGAUGUGACAUUUCAUCACUUUGAGACGAGAAGGCCUUUAACAUUUGAGCGUUUUUUACAAAAGAGGGAUCGUAUUUCAAAGUUUUCAAGUUUUCAAUUUUUGACACUAAAACACUAAUUAAUCAACUAGGUACCAAUUUUUGGGCGUAUCGAGGGUGCUAAUCCUUCCUCGUGCGUAACCAACUCCCGAACUCAUUUUCUGAUUUUUGUAGACCAAAAAUUAUCGUUUUAGUAAAUCUUAACUUUUAUUAAAAUGAUUAAUUUAAGGUGACCCGAUCACACCUCAUCAAAAAGGAUUGGUGGGGACUCUCAUUUUUUCAUUUUUGUUUCCAAAACCAAAGUCGACCCCGUUUUCAAAAAAAAUGGUUUCGACAUAAGUAAAAGCCAGUAAUCAAGUGAGCUAAACUGGUUUUCUCACACACAAAAAAAUACCUAAAAUAUUCCAACAAAUUAUCAAAAUAAGCAAAACUAAGGUGAUAAAUUUUUUAUUUUGGAAAAUUAAAAUAAACAACGUUUGCAAUGUGUCGUAAACAUGUUUUCGAUUAGUCAAACAAACCCUUAAGUUUCAAGUAAAAAAAAAUGUUUUAUUAAAUUCAAUUAGACAUUUCCAUCCAAAUUUUAAAGUUAUUGUCCAAUUAAUGACAUGAUUUCUGUAAAUAUUACGAGGAAAUAAUAAGUUACCAUUGACAUCUCACAUAUAAUCAUAUGUUUAUUGUGUAACAUUAUGAAAAUAAUAGAAUUUGACAUUACAAAUUUAAUAGUUGCUAUCAAAGUUUUCAAAACCGAAUAAGUUGAAUUGAAAAUUAAUUAGAGUACCCGAAAUUUCCACUGAACAAACUGGCCUUACGGGAAUAUCCAUAGCACUGUAACAAUGUGAAGUACAACAACCAUUCUAGCUAAAAUUGCAUUUAAUAAUCCACAAAUCUAAGUAAAACCCAGUAAUCAAGUGAAAAAUAAGGUCUUUUCAAACAACAAUCCCUUGAAAAUUCACACAAUAUGUCCUUGAAGUUCAACAAAUGAACAAAAUAAGCAAAGCUUGAGCAAGAUCUUAAAAAACCCAGAGAUAAUAUUCAAGCAUAUAGACAAAAAGGAUUCUAUAAAGUUGAUAAAGCUAUAAUCCAGCCACCCAAAGGAGCAUACUUUACAGGGAGAGAGAGAGAGAGAUAGAAAAGGGGGCUUUAAUUAUAAGGGAAAUGCAUUGAGUUAAUUUCAAUUUUUAUUAUAUAAAAACAAAUAUUUUGUAUUUAAAACAGUGAAAAUAAUUUAAAAAAUCUUGAAAAUUGUUGUUUUUUUAAAUAUUUAUGAAAAAAAUUUAAAAUUUUAUUAAAUAAUAUUCAAAAGUCAUAAAUAAAAUAUAAAAUAAAAAAUUAAUAUAAGAAAAACCAAUAACCAAACCGAAUAAUUAUAGACAAUGUAAAAAAUCCAAAAUACUUGAUUGAACAAAAUUGAUAUUAACCCUACUCACAGUUGUGUACAUAUGGAUAAAUUUUGGUAAAAUAUUAAACUUAUAUUUCAAGUUAGUUGUGUAUAUAUCGAUAAAUUUUGAUAAAAUAUUAAACUUAUAUUUCAAGUCGAGACAUAUAGAACACACAAGUUCGCGACAUCAUUAAACUAAAAUUCUAAAAUAAGAAAAUAAUAGAGGAAUUUAAAGAACCAAAUAGAAUAUUUAAUAUUUGAUUGAGUGUAAAUAAUACUUACAACAUUGAUCUUUAUAUAGACUCAAACUUCAACUGCCCUUAUGUUUUUAAGCAACGUGGGUUAUAAGUUAUUAUAUAAACUCACAAUCCCUUGUUGUUGUUUUUUUAUUCUUAAGUGAUGUGGGAUUCAUUUCUAAGCUAGUGUUGAUAUUCAACACUCCCCUUCAACACCAGCUUACUUCCUUUCCAAAAUACCGAGCUGAUAGAAACUUUCUAUCUUUUUGUCAUUCAACCCCUUCAUGAAUAAAUUUACAACUUGCUCUUCUGUCUUAAUAUGUCUCAACACCUCAUGUUGAUUCUCGCAAACACCCUAUUUCUAUGCUCGAUGGAAUGCUGCCCCUCGAUCCUAUCCUUGCUAAUGCCUCCAUGGCUCGAAUCAUGGUACUUUGCUCCCACUUGUAUUGGCUCGACCAACUCCUCUUGGCACAAUCAAAUAGAACCCAACCUCCGUGGCUUCCCAUGGUGCUCACCCUUAGCUUUUGAUUUAUCAUAGGAUUUUACAACAACUGAUAGCCUUGCUCGCUUGCUCACCUUGGGCACUCCCUAGCAUGGUGCUGUCCAUCAAAAACAACUCAAAGAUUUCCGUUCGCCCUUUCUCAUAGUAAUAUUGUUAUUAAACAACUCAAAUAUUCAUUCGGUCAUAUAAUGUUGUUUGGCCUGAAUUCUAAAUUAAACCCAAAUAUUAAAUGAUAUAUUAACUUCAAAGAGAAACCCUUUUUUAUUUACAGCGAAUUAAUACGAAAUUCAUCCAAAAAUUUCGAACAAAAAUAUGAAUACUCAAACCGAAUUACACAAAAAAGUGUUCAUUUUUUAUGGGGUUUGUAGGGAGCUGUGAUUCAGCUGUUCAAAGUAAAGGAAAGCCACAAAGUUCUUGCUCAAAAUUCAAAUUGCGAAGCCCCUACCGGAAAGCAAUCUGCAGGAGAGUUGCGUUUACACAAUGGUUUUUUUCACUUAUUUUUUAAUUCAUUGUGUUUUCCCCCCCUCAUAAUUUCCUUUCUUUAUAAAUUUGUCCUUUGUAUUUGCAGACAUUACUGAGCUGAACCUACCUAAUUGUUGUACCAUAGUCUCUUCCAUUAACUCUCACCCAAAACAAUAGCUGUUUAGUAUUGUCCAUUUCGUAUUGAUCGUGGUUAUUUUGAUCGAUACGCAUCAUUUCAAUAAUAAAUUAAUACAACUAAUUCUCUUUUCGGUAUUAAUAAAAAAUUUCUACAUAUUAGUACUGAUAUAAACUAAUUUCAAUAAAAAAUAGAGCAUAAAUCAAUACGAUAUUGACUACUUUGAUUAAAACCCGUCCCUUGUAAUGAACCUUAAUUUUUUUUUUUUUUUUUGCAGGUAUAUCAUCCAAAUAUAGACUAUGAAGGAAACGUAUGCCUCAACAUAUUACGUGAAGAUUGGAAACUAGUGUUGAAUAUAAACACUAUAAUCUAUGGAUUAUACCAUCUUUUCACGGUAUUUAAAUUUAUAUAAAAUAAUGUCGUUAUAGAAUUAUUAUAAAUAAGAUAUAUCAUAACCCAACUUGAAAUCUAACCUACUUUAGUGAUUCGAAAUUUAAUCUGAAAAUCAUUUUUAUAUACAUAUCCAAAGAACCUCUACUCUCAAUACUCUCCACUUUUUCAUCUUUUUCUUCUCCCGAAAACUCAUUUUCCUUUAUUCUAACCAUCCAUGUCAAGAACAAUACAAAUUGACCAACGGAGUGACCAACCAAAUCAAUUUUAAAAUUAAAAAUCAAAUAAGUCUUUUUAAAUUGGAAUGAUAAAAAAGAGAGAAAAGAAAAGAUAAGUUUUGAAAUUAUAUAUUUUUCAAAAGUUUCAAUUUUUUUAUAUGACUAAGGUAUCUUCUUGUUCGGGAUUCAUAUUUUUCCUUACUACUAAAGUUAUUUCUAAAGUUUGAAUAUAAAUUCUCGCUUCAAAAGUUUUAAAUUUAUAAUAUAUUUUUUCUAUUUCCUUUUUUUUUUAAGUUAAUUCAAAUAUGUAAGUCAAUUCAAAGAAACCUUAUUCUCUUUUUUUUUUCUUUGUAUUGAAGAGUUUCGAAAUUACAAUCUAGUACCUAAUUUUAGUGUUUUGCAUGUGCAUUGCCAUGCUAAUCGAGAGUGAUUGGUGGGCUACUUUGUAUACCUAAAAAUAGGUACAUUUUCCCAUAAGUGGGUUAAAGUUUUUCUACCCGAGUGAGCUUGAGGGUUUUUUUAUAAAAAUAAUCUAAAAAAUUUUAUUAAUUACAUAAAUGACUCAUUUUUUUAAUUAAAUACUUAAAUGACUUAAAAUUUAUAAUAAAAGUUUGUGGAGCGAAAUAGUUUGGUGUCACCAACAUGUCACAUCAACAACUAGGAAAAAAAUAAUUUUUUCGUGGAGUCAUGUGAAAUAGCGCCACCUAUAUAAAUAUUAGAGAAAUACUAUAAUUUCUAAAAAAUUAGAGAUUUAAAAAAAAAAUUCUAUUUUGGUGUAGCCAAAUAAAUUGGGGCCACCAAAUAGCCUACACACCUGUUACUUUAUUUAUUUAUUUAUUUAUUUUUUUAACUUUUGUCCUAUUCUUUUUUUUAAGUUUUAUUGUCCUUAUUUAUUUAUUUUAUUUAUUAUUAAUUUUAAAAUACUUUAAAUUUAUAUUUAAAAUGUUUUAUAAUAUAUAUUUUUUAAAAUUUUAAAUAUAUAUAUUUGAAAUUAUUUUUUAAAAUUUUAAAUAUUAUUUUUUAAAUAUUAAAUAUAUUUGUUAAUAAUAUAAAAUAUUUAAAUAUCUUAAAGAUAUGACCUUUCAAAUUUAUUACUAGUUUUAUAAUAUUUUAAAUGUACAUUUUAAAUUUUAAAUAUUUUUAAAUUUGUUUUAUAAUAUUUUAAAUUAUGAUUUUUAAAUUAUUCAAAGAUAUAUUAUUUUUAAAGAUAUGACCUUUUAAAUUUAUUAUUUGAUUUAUAAUAUUUUAAAUUUUAAAUAUAAUUUUAUAAAUUAUUAAUUUUAAAAUUAAUUUUAAAGAUAUUCAAACGUUUUUUAAAUUAAAUUCAAUUAAAAUUUUGAAUUUAAUUUAAAAAAACGUUUGAAUAUAUAAUAGAACAAUAUUAUUAAAAAAUAUACAUUGUAAAACAAUUUAAUUUAAGAAUUAAUAUUUUGAAUUUAAUUUAAAAAAUGUUUCAUAUUAUUAAAAAUAUAUUUAAUAUUUAAAAAAUAAUAUUUAAAAUUUUUUAAAAAUAAUUUUAAAUAUAUAUUUAAAAUUUUUAAAAAUAUAUAUUAUAAAACAUUUCAAAUAUACAUUUCAAGUAUUUUAAAAUUAAUAAUAAAUAAAAUAAAUAAAUAAAGACAAAGAUAAAACUAAGAAAAAGAAAGAUUAGGACAAAAAUUAAAAAAAGUAAAAAAAAAUUAAAAGAAAAGAAAAAGUAGGCUAUUUAGCUCCACCAGAAAAUAGAAAUUUUUUUAAAGUCUCCUAUUUUUUAAAAAUUACAGUAUUUUCCUAGUAUUUAUAUAGGUGGCGCCGUUCUACAUGGCUCCACCAAAAAAUUAAUUUUUUCCUAGUUGCUGAAGUGGCAUGUUGGUGGCGCCAAACUAUUUGGCUCCACCAACUUUUACUGUAGAUUUUAGGUCGUUUACAUGUUUAAUUAAAAAAAUAGGUAAUUUAUGUAAUUAAUUAAAUUUUUUAGGUUAUUUUUAUGAAAAAAAAACUGAGCUUGAGUUUUAUUAGCAAUUAAAUUCUGUUAUUGUAUUCUGAACUUUAUAAAAAUUACAAAUUUAAUCUAUAUAUUUUAAUUUAAUUACUUUUAAUUUUAUAUUUUUAAAAUUUUAGAAUUUUAAUUAUUAUCAAGUGAUAAUUAUUAAAUUUAUUAAGCUCAAUUAUCUCUAAAAUCUGAUACUGUAAACAUAUUAUCAUAUAUGUUAUAUUAUGUUAGCUUGUUAUUUCUACGUAUUAUUAUUCAAUAAAAAUUUAGUUGAUAGAUUCAUUACUCCCGUUUAUGUCAAAAACUAAAAUUUAAAAACAAUAGUAUCGUUAUAAUCCAAUUAAAGAAUAUGGAGUAUAUCUAUAACUGCACGUAUAUUACUAAAUUAAUAAUUGAAUUUAACCAAACAAAUUUAAUUGUUACUGUUCGAGUCAACAUUAAAAUUUGAAAAAUAUAAAAAAUUAAAAUCAACAAAUUAAAAAAAGUAUAAAUAAUAAAAUUUUAAAAAAUAAAAUAUAAUAAUCAAAUCUACAAUUUUUUAAAAUUACAGAGAUUAAUAGUAAAAUUUAAGAUAAAAUUAAUAUUUGGGUUUUAAUAGAAUUAAAAAUAUUUGAAGACAACAUAAAAUGAAUAGAACUUUAUUAUUUGUCAUUACAUUUCAGGUUUUCAACGACAUGUGUUCGACAUGCAUCACUACAUUUCAUGCAUAAUUAAUAUUUGUUUUUUAUUUGUUUAAAAUUUCCAACAUACAUAUAUUUACUUGUUAUACCAUAUGCCGAUAAUAAUAGUAGGUAUGAUUGUAAAAUAAUAAGAAAAAGAUAAGAAUAUACAGAUUUUACAUGGAAAAUUAUUAUCGAGAAAAAUCACGAGUAGAGGAAAAAAAAUUCACUAAUAUUAAAAAAAAACAAUACAAAAGGUUUUCUGAUGUACUCAUUUUAAGGGUUAAACAACUCUUUUAUAAUCAACGUCUAAUAGAAAGAAGUAUAAUCCUAUAUAGAUUCAACUUGUGCAACAAAGCCCUUUGCCUUUUGCCCCCACAGAUCGCCAAUUUUGUCUCUCUAUUUUAUUCUUUUAACAAGUGAGUUGCACAUCGAACUUUUCAAGCCGUGAUUUGAGUUUUGAAAAAUAGUCAAUUUGUUUUUUUAAUGGAAAUAUUGACUAAAAUGUUAAAUUUAUAAACAUGGUAGCUCGCAUACUUCAUCUUUUUUUUUAUGGACUUUUUAUAAUUUUUCUUUGAAUUUUGAAUUUUUAUUUUUAAAUAUUUUAUAGUUUUUAUAUUAUUUAUUGAUGUAACAUAUAAGACAAAAAUGACGUGGUAGCAUGAAGUAUACGUAAAUUGCCAUAUAGAUUGUCACGCCAACAUCGUUAAAAAAUUAACGUUUUAGUUCACAUUUCUAUAAAAAAAAGCAAUUUGAUGGCAAAAAUAUCAUCGAGGCCCCUAUAACAAGUGUAGAUUGCAUUUUGCAUUUUCUACAAAAAAAAAAGGGGCAAAAUAGUCGUACAUUAGAUCACAAAGCAAACUAGUCAUUUCUGUUAAAAUUUUCAUUCAUUUUUACUAUUAAAAAUUGACAACAUAACCAAACAAUAACACAUUACAUGCCAUGUAUAUAUCAUACUGACAUAAAGAGACCAAUUUUUACCAAUAGAAAUUAAUAAAAUUUUUAACAAAAAGAUUAAUUUACUCUUUGACCUAACAUAUAUGGAUUAAUUUUUUCAUUUUUUUAGUAGAUGGGACAGAAUACAAUCCGAUUCCUCGUAUAAGGGCCUCUAUGAUACUUUUACCUUAAUUUGACUCUUUUUGAAAGGUUAAUGCCAAAUUUAGCUCGAUAAAGACCAAAUUGAUAAAAAAAUAUAAAUGUUGAAAAUUAAAAUUAUUAUUAUCUUCAACGGUUUUUUUUUAAAUUUAAAAAAAAAAUCAACUUGACCAGCUAAUAAGGCUCAAAUUUUCUGACAAGUCUUUGGAGAAAUUCCAUUAAUGGUUUGCGGUUCCUUUUAAGGUACCAAAAUAUUCUUUUUCUUUAGUGCAUGUUUUGAUUGUUUGUAUGAAAAGGAUCUUCUCUUUAAUAACUGAAUAAUCGAAAGCAUGUGACAUGUUUAAUGAAUUCUUGUCUAAUUGCAUGUCGUUUUUCUUUUUGGUCCCUGUAUAUAUCAUGGCCAAGCUUGAGCUAUGGUUUUCAUCUUCGUCAUUUAGUUUCAAAAUUUUGUGGGUCAUUAUGCAAACCGGGAAGGUUCAUGUUGCUCUUGUUGCCAGUCCCGGCAUGGGACAUCUUAUUCCGGUGCUCGAACUUGGAAAAAGACUAGUUUCUCAUCACGGGUUUAGUGUAACUAUCUUUGUAGUCACGAUGGAUGCCUCUUUGUCUCGAUCCCAACUCCUUAGAGUAUCGGAGAUCAAGGAUGAUUUCCUUGAAAUUGUUUUGUUGCCGGCGGUGGAUAUUUCGGCUCGGGUUGAUAAAACCAUUGGGAUCUUAAGGCAGAUGGCGAUGGUGGUCCACGAGGCUUUACCGAGCUUACGAUCCGCGAUAUUAGCGAUGGAAGUCCAACCCAUCGCUCUUAUUGUCGACAUGUUUGCGACCGAAGCUUUUGUUGUUGCUGAAGAGUUCAUGAUGUUGAAGUAUGUUUUCGUCACUACUAAUGCUUGGUUUCUUGCCCUUACAGUCCAUGGACCGAACCUCGAUAAGGAAGUGGAUCGAGAUGAUCACAUUAACAAUCAAAAGCCUAUUCACAUUCCCGGCUGUGAACCGGUUCGGUUUGUUGAUUGUUACGAGCAAUUUCUGCGACGAAACAAGGUGUAUUUCCGCAUGGGAACUGAGAUAUCCACAGCAAACGGAAUACUAGUGAACACGUUUUACGAUCUGGAACCACGGACACUUGCUGCUUUGCAUGAUACACGGAAGGUAGGACUGGCUCCGAAAGCGCCCGUUUACCCAAUUGGACCGUUGGUGAGGCCAGUUGAGCUGAGUUUGAGAGGUGAAGUUCUGAACUGGCCCGAUAUGCAACCUAAAGAAUCGGUGUUAUAUGUUUCUUUCGGAAGUGGUGGAACCCUUUCGGCGAAGCAAACCAUAGAGUUGGCAUGGGGUUUAGAAAACAGUCAACAACGGUUCAUUUGGGUGGUUCGUCCACCGGUAGAGAAUGAUUCAGCAGCGACAGUUUUUAAGUCAAACGGCGUCUGCAAUGACUUCCUGGACUACUUUCCCGAAGGGUUCUUGAAUCGGACCUGCAAAAACGGGUUGGUGGUUCCAAAGUGGGCACCUCAAACUGAAAUCUUGAGCCAUCCAUCCAUAGGUGGAUUUUUGUCUCAUUGCGGGUGGAAUUCAAGUCUGGAGAGUAUCGUCAACGGUGUUCCAAUGAUCGUGUGGCCAUUAUACGCCGAACAAAAGAUGAAUGCUACGGUACUAGCUGAGCACAUUGGGGUGGCAACCAGAUCGAAGUUGUUAGCUUCACAGGGUGUGGUUGGGAGAGGUGCGAUAGCGGCAAUGAUUCGAAAGUUCAUGGUCGAGAAAGAAGGUGAAGUAAUUAGAGCCAAAGUGAAAAUGCUAAAAUCAUGCGCUGUAAAGGCUCUUAGCAAUGGCGGCACCUCUUAUAAUGCUCUGGCUACAGUCGCCGAAGAGUGCAAGAUUGGAAUGCAACGCCGGAAUGCAAAAACAGGCUGAUCUUCAUCUCGAGUUUGAUGCUUCAUCAGUGUGGUGAUGUUUAAUGUUGCAGAUUAUUGAUGAAAUAAUUGAGACUAUUUUCAUUCCUAGAAGUCUCAACAUUCCCAUAUAUAAAAACAAUAAUUACUUCAUAAAGAUAACAUACAAAUUAGCAAAAAUAGAAUAAUCUAUAGAAUAAAUCCCAUAUUUGAUAAGAAGUAAAGGUGCAAACGUGAUAACUGUACUCGCAACCUAUUCAAGUUUGCCAUCCUCAAGGUUAUCUCAAACUUAAACGAGCUGAGUUUGAUUAUAUUAAUCCUUUAUUAAAGUAGUUUACGAGUCUAAUUGAAUUUUUAAUUUACAAAUGCAUUUCUAACAUUUUAUAUAUUAAAUUACUACUUUACCAAAAAUAAUUCGAUAUGGAAUGAGCUUGAGCUCAAACUACAUAUAAAUCUUGUAAACGACCUUAAUUGAGCCAAGCUUGAAUAGUUAAAUUUUAAUUAGAGCUAAGCUCGAACUUUCACAAUAGUAUUAAAUCAAGCUUGACUCGAGUUUCAAGCAGGAAGUUUCGAAUCAAGCUUUGAGCUUCUUAUUGUUCGAGCUUGGUUCGAUUAUAGUCGAAGUCGGAAUGCUAUGGUUUCACUCACCCAAUUCUCAGAUCAGAUUAGCAAUAGAUACAACAGUUCAUUGGUGGAUAAAAUGAUGAUUCAAACACACAGAAUUACACAAAAUGCAACACAAUUUUUUUUCUCUUUAUUAAAUGAAAGCUUUUGAGUGAAUUACAUGGAGAAAAUUAUACAAAACCAAGAACCCUGAUUCCCAAAUAUAGACAUCUUAUUUGAUAAGACAAAGCCCAUAAGAAUAUCAAAUCAUGUACAUGUUUCUCAACUGAAAUGGAAUUUGGCAAAGAGGGUACCAAUAAUUCGUGUUACUAUCUUUUCAUGCUGGAUUGCUGACAGUACAAAUAUGCCAAAAGACCAAUUCACAAACCCGAAACACAGCUCAAUUUAAUGAAGAAUAGAUCGAAAAACAAAAGUGUGGGGGGUAUGUCAUGCCUGAUAAAGCCGCUUGAUCACGCUGGCCAUGUACUUCCCUUGAUGCUCUGCGAGAGCUAGCUCAGUUUCACUUGGUUCUCUUGUGCCAUCACCAGCGUAAACACCGGCACCGUAUGGUGAACCUCCUCGUAUGGAAUCCAUCUUGAACAUACCAGCUCCGAAAGUGUAGCCAAUAGGAACAAAUAGCAUUCCAUGGUGCGCUAACUGGGUUAUUGCCGUCCAACUGAACAAGACAGUAGCAUGAGAAGCAUUAAAAUAUUGACAAAUAUAGUCAUUUGGUACAUAAGUUCGUUGAUAAGCAAAUAAAAACUGUACAUUUGUUCACUAUUUUGCGAGGGCAAGGCCACUACCACCUCAACCAACGUACAUAUUGUAUGUUCAAAGGAACUUUGAAUGAUGAAAAGCUAUAAUCACAUGGAAAUGGACCAAUGCCAAGAUGUGAUUGAUAAACUAACACCAGUGAAUUCAAGGAUGCAAUAUGUUGGAAAAACGGAUAGAAUAACAUGAAUUCGAGAAAAUUAUUUGUUCUUCCAAGAGAAAAAACGAAGUUACAAUCACAAAGGGCAUACUACAACAGCUCCAAUGUUGAUGAAACUGAUUGCAUUUUGCCCCUCUACUCAAAAAAUGGGCAAAUUAGUCCCUAUACAUUAGAUCAAAGAGCAAAUUGGUCCUUUCUAUUAAAACUUUUAUUGAUUUCUAUUGUUAAAAACUCACAUGGUUGACAAAAUAAUCAAAGUGUUACUUGAAUCUCAUACGUAUAAACAGGGCCAAAUUUUUUAAUUGUAGAAAUAGAUGAAAAUUUUAAGAGAAUGGUCAAUUUACUCUAUGAUCUAACCUACAAGGACUAAUUUGCUAAUUUUUUAAUAAAGGGUCCCGCUCUUACCCUCCAGUUCCCUAUCUAUUUGAUAUCAAGAGAGACUAUCUGCCAUGGUUGCUAACCUUUUAAGCUAAUUUAUGAACACUUUGUUCAUUCAUAGAUGAUAACUUCAACUAAACAGCACUAACCCCAUCGCCAACAUUGUAAAGUUACUAAAUUUCUCUGCAAAAUGUUCCAUUAAAGAAUCAAUUUCUUUUUCAACCAUUAAAGCAAUGAAAAUAAAUCACAAUUAUAGCAACUUACGCGGUGGUUUCUUGGCCGCCUCCUUGAGUUCCGGUGCUAACAAAGAAUCCAGCAGGUUUCCCGGCCAGCGUUUGCUCCUUCCAGAGCUGACCCGUGGAAUCGAAAAACGCUUUCAUUUGAGCCGCCAUACACCCAUACCUCGUCGGAAACCCAAACAAAAACCCAUCAGCUGUCGCCAAUUCCGCCACCGUAAUCUCCGGAAUUUCUGGGUCUUUAGGCGGAACCUUCAUGAGCUCCAAUACAUCGGCCGGAAGCGUCUCGGGGACCCGAAAAAGAACCGCCUCCACACCUUCCGCGCCUUCCACCCCUUUCUUCAUCCGCUUCGCCAGCUUCUCCACGUGCCCGUACAUGGAAUAAAAAACGAUGAACACUUUCAGGGUCGCGGCUACGGAUUGGGUGUUGACGGAGUCCGCCGUCGAGGCGGGGAUUUCGCGGGUUUCUUCAUCGGAGGCGGGGAUGGGUGCAUUGUUGGCGGGUGUUGUGGAAGACCCACGGCGGCGAGCAGGGUCUUCGGCGGUGGAAGGAUGCUUUUUCUUGCUGGGGACACAACCACCACCCUUGCCCAUGGAGGAUUAAGGAUGAAAAUGGAAGAUUCAAAGAAGAAAAAGGCCUUUUUGAGGAAUUUGAAUCCAAAUUAAGUAAAACAUAGAAGAUGAAAGAUUCGCAUGAAUUUUCCUUUUUCAAUUCCCUAUUGAAAAUGAAAUAUAUAUACCUCGGAUUCCAAUGACAGCAGUGGGAAAAACAGAAAGUUAACUAGAGGAGUUUGUGGUCUGGUCCACUUCUUCCCAUUGGUUGGUUCGGUUCGAUUUAUCAAAAUUUUUAACUGAGAUUAUAAGACUUCAUAGUAUGAGUGCCGGUUGAGUUCGGCUUCAUCGGGUUUUUUAAUUUUAAAUAAAUUAUAUUAGUAAUCACUUAAUUAUGAAUAAAUUUUUUUAUUAUAACUGUUAGUAAACAUUUUUUAGCUACUUAACUAUAAAAAAAUUACAGAAUGAUUUCUAAAUUAUUUAAUUUUUUUUUAUCACAAGUUAACUAAUGUAAAAAUGGAAACACUCGUAUAUCUAAAUUAUCUAUGCAAAUAGAUGCUCACGUGGGAAUUAGGGUUCUUAGCUUUUAUAUCCAAGAUACAUUUUAACGGUUUUAACGAUUAAAUUCAUAAAUAAAAAACCCGAUUAAUAAAAUAACAAUACUUUUAAAAUUUAAUUGAAACAUUUUAAAGUUAAAUGAUUAAUUUAGAAUUUAAGUGGUGGACCAUAAUUUUAAGACAAUGGCCCAUUAUCCCAUUAGAUGAUGGUUUAAAAUCCAUAAUAUAAAGCCUAUAUGAACCAAAAAUGUGGGCUUCAAUUUCAAAGGCAUAAAGUGGCAUGACAUAAUGCCCAAAUAACAAUGGACCAUCAAAACAUAUAUUAAAUCAUUAAAACAACUUUAAAGUCAAAUGGUUUAUGGUUUUUUUUUUAUAUAUACUACUUAAUGAGCUUCAAUGCAUUAGAAUUCAUGUUCUCCUGAAUCGGUAACAAUGUUUAUAUCAAUUGAAUUAAAACUCAAUCGACUAAGAUGCUGCUAUAUUAAAUCUAAAUUUAAAAUAAAUUUAGUUUUUAUUUUUAUUAUGUUAUUGGUUAAUUCAAUUUUUUUUAAUUAGAUUGUUUCAAUAUUUGAAUAAGAUUAGUUUUAUCCGAAUGUAAAAUAAAUUAUAAAUUUUCUGAGACCAAAAUGCAAGUAUAUCAUUACACUGUCUUGAGGUCUAAGACACCACUAUCGCUGGCCCUUAUCUACACCCCGAAUGUUCCCAAGUUAAAGUAAUAUAUAUAUUGAAUAAUUUUAUUAAAGGUUCUGAUCAUAUUUACUCUUUUUGACAUAAUGCUUAAAACUAUUCAUAUUCCCUUCCCGACUCAUAAAUAGGAAGAUAAUGCGAUUUAGCGCAUUCAAACCCACGUCGUCUUGAAUUGACAACAAUACAUAUACCAAUCCAGGUAAGAUUAAAUCGACUAAAGUAAUAUAUAUUUAGAUGAAAUAUUUAAGCUAUAAUAAAUUUGAAAAUAUUAUUAAUAUAAUUUAGGUUAUAAUUCAACCUUUGACAAUAAUUAAUACCGAAACAUAUUGACUAUUUUCUUUCUCUUAAAUGAGUAAUUAAAGGUUAAAUCACUUGUCCUAAAAGGAAUCAACAAGUUUCCACACCCUACUAAUUUUGCACAUGGUAAGGACACUAAUCUCUCGAUUAAGCAAAAACAUAUCCGAUACUUUGUACCAACCAAAUAAUCAUACACACACACAAAAAGAAAAACCUAUACAACAUAUAUAGAGUAUAAUAUGGUCUGAAUAUUACACAAAGUUCAGUACGAUGGUACUAUAAAAUAAGAUAUUUAUAUGUCUUCUCAUUGGAGACUCUUUCGAGAAGGUGCUUAUUAUUUUCCUUUUUAUUUGAGAUUAUUUAGGUUAACCACUAUAGAUUUUAAAACCUUCUAAUUGAAUAUUAUUAAUACCGUGUUCUUCAUUUCAUUCCCCAAAAAUUUCAAAUCAUUCUCUUAAAACUCGUCUCGAAAUUAUUUGACUCAAUAAAAAAUCCUUUUUGAUACACAAUAUCAACGGAGGUUAAGAUGAAAAGGAGAAUGGUGUCCUCGUCCAAACAAAUAAAGCCCAAGCCCCCCCAAAUGGAGUCUUUGGGAUUACCUAAAUCACGAGUAUUUCGAAUCGGAUAAUCGAGUUGGGUUAUUAUAUAACAAUUAUAUAACAAUUUGUCCCUCACAUUGGAGUUUACUAUAUGGGUUUUAACUUGAAACUUUACUAAGCAAAUUUUAUUGUUCGAUAGUGUAGUAUUGGAGUCAAGAAUUGUAUUACAAAAUACUGCGAACUGUGUUUCUCGUAAGUAAAAACUUGUUCCUCACAAUUCUCCUCUCCAUCUUGACUUCCGUUGAUAUUAUGUAUCAACAAAACCCAAUUCAUUAAACCUUUCUAUACAAUCAAACAGAAAAACCUGAAAGCACCAUAUCCCAAAAGCCUAAACUAUGUUGUGGAUUGAGUACUCAUUUUUGCAUUUUGCAUCAUGCAUUACGAGUUCCUCAACUCGGAUCAAAGAAUAAUUAGAUCCGUUAACUUAAUUGUUAGCAUAGACGUUAAAUAUAAUAUUAAAAUUUGAAGUUGAGUAGCAUAUCGUAAACUCAUACACCAAAAUUUAAAUACAGACAUAUUUAUCAUAUAAGCAGAUUAGAUCUAACAUAUUAAAAAAAAUAACUAAUUCAUGUUACAUCUUGUUAUCGCAUGUUUUAUGCAAAUUUCAAAUACUUUAAUCAUAAAAUACAUUUUUGAUUUGACAUCUUGUGACCAAUAUGAAUCAUAGUAGAAAAAAAAUGAAGGCAAAGUUAGAAUUUAUCGUUAUUUAAAAUAUAAACAUAUUAAAUAAAAAGUUGUCUAUACAAUAAAUACAAAUAUAUUUCAAAUACGCUCGAAUUCAAAUGCAAGUUAAAUUUUAAUAUUUAAACUGGCAACUAAAUAGAUAAAAAGGACUUAUUUAAUACGAUAUUUAUACAUUAAAGCUCAAUUAAACAUUUAUUUAAAUUUCAAGCUGUAAUUUUAUAACCCUUUUUGUAAAUUAUCUCAAAAUAGUUAGGUACAAGUACAAAUUUGAUUAUAAUGUUGCUAAAAUUUCAAUCAAAUCAAAUACGUUAAAAUUGGAACUCUUAAAUAUCAAAUCAAAGAUAAAAUAAUGAAAAGUUGGGUGCAUCAAAAAGUGUUGAGAUCAACAAUAAGACACACUAUACUCUUAAUAAGAGAAUUUAUGUAUGAAUUUUGGAGAUAACAUUAUUGAAAUGGAAGACUCUACAUGUCAAAAAAAUUGAUCUUCAUAAAUCAUAAAACAAAAAUGAAAAAUAUCCUGAUUCUAAAGAAAGGAAGAAGCAAGAUGGCAAUGGAUCACUAAGAGAUACACAUAUUCUAACUAAAAAAAGGUCUCAGGUGCUGUUGUUAUAAGUAUAUAACAACCAUAUUUAAAAUUUUAGCAAACAAAUGGACUGUUACAUAGAAAGUUAAUUUUAUAAACUUGAUGAUUGAAUAAGUAAAGAGUUUGGUGUAUAAAAAAAGAACCAAUGUGUGUUGAGAGCAAUAGCAAAGCACAUUACACUUUUAAUAAGAGGAUUCGAGUCUAAAUUUUAAAAAUAACAUUAUUCAAAUCAACAACUAAGAACUUGAAAAAAAAAAUCUUUAUAAACUAUAAAAAAGAAAAUGAAAAAUACCAUAAUUCUAAAGAAAAACGGAAGAAGCAAGGUGGCAAGGCAAUAGCAAUGGACCACUCAAAGAGAUGCACAUAUUCUAAAAGAACACAAAAAGGGGUCACACACACACCAUUGUCUUCGGAUCAUAGGACAAUUUGAACUUUGAAGACCAAUCUAAGGCCAACCCUUUUGUUGCACCUAGCGAGAAUCCGUACCUAUCCCCCCAAAAUCCUAAAACCCUUACCAUACACGUGUUAACCAAAACUCCCAAUAAAAAAACCCUAAAAAAAAAAAGAACCCAAAGUUCAAAAACCUAAGAAGAACACUAUAAUGGCUACCAUGUGCUAAGCUUUUGAAUGGAAAUGGGAAGAAAUAAAAAGAAGCAAAUAGACAGCUUGGAAUUUAGUAAAAGUUUGGGCACUAAAAAGUAUAUGCUUGAAAUCAUCCACUUGUCCUCCAUCAAACAUUUUUCUCUUUAUUUUAUUCUUUUUUCGUACGAUUUUUUCAUGUGGUUUUAAUCAUAAAUUAUGGGGUUUGUUUAAUGACUUAAUCUGAGUGUUGUGGAAUCAUUAAACAUUAUUUAAUACACACCCAAUGAAACGAAACUUAGCUGUAUAAGGAAUAUUAGAUCAUGGUCACGGAUAUGGUAAAUUUUUUAUUUAGACUUAAAAAGAUUUUGUAUGAAAAUAUGAUUAUAAUUGCUGAUUGAGUCUUAGUUUGAUUAGUUUGUGUAUUAUUGUCAAUACAGGAGUACAUAUGUUUAAGUGCAUUGAAGCGCAUUAUCCUCCUAUUUAUAGGUUGGAGAGAGACUAUGGAUAAUUUUAGAUAUUGUGUUAAAAAGAACAGAUAUAAUCACAACAAUAAGAAAUCUAAAUUUUGCCUAGAUUUAAAGUAUAGAGAAUAUAAUCCUACCUUAAUUUAUAUUUAUAUGUGUUAAUGUGGACUCAAAAAGAAAAUGAAAGUGACAAGCUUUCCAUAAAAAAAAUUAACUUCCCAAAUAAAGUUAUGAAAAUUGUGUUAAUGAAAUUGAAUAAUGUUCACCUAAUCUGAAGUAGGUAACUAUCUUUCAUUUUAAGUAUUUGACUUGGCAUCUUUUUCACUAGUAGGUAAGAUAUGGGUUAGGUCUUAAUUAAUUUAUUAAUUACUUUUUACCUUUUUUUAAUUAUUUUUUUGGGUUCUCACGUGACAAAGGUGAUUAACAUUUUAGUAUAAAUUAACGGCUUUGAGUAUUUUAAAAUUUGGAUUUGAUUUGAUUAAAAGUUUAAUUACCCUAUGCUACACUUAAAGUCAUAACUAAUGUAGAUAAUGCCCUAAAUUAAGGCGUAAUUCAAGGGUUGAUUCUAAGUUUAAAAAUGAAAAGAAUAGAAAACCCCCAUGUCCUAAAUUGUUAAUUUAAUUGGUGCAUUAGACUCAAAAAAUUAAUUUCAAAGUAAAAAAUUAGUAUCAAAGGUUAAAAGUCGAUUGAGUCUUAAUUCGAUUAACAUGACAUUGUUGUUGAUGUAGAAAGAUGUAGAUUCGAGUACGCUAAAGCGUAUUAUCCUCCUAUUUAUGGGUUGGAGAGAGGCCAUGAGUAGUUUUAGGUAUUGUGUCAGAAAGAGCAGAUACGAUCCGAACUUAAAAUGAGAUUAUUCAAAAAAAAUAUUAAAGAUUAAAAAAAUUACAAUAAAAGAUUAAUGAAGUGUUUUGACAUGCUUUAGAUUCGAGUUCCACUUGUGCAAAUUAUAUGUGGAUAGGUUAAUUAAUUUGUUGAGUUAAUUAUUCAAUUCGAAGACUUAAUUCUAAUAAUUACCGUUGAUAUACUAGUACACUGGAGGGGAUAAAUUUAUUUAUAAAAUUUUUAUUUUCUUUCAUUUAUGGAAUGAUUGAAUUUCAAAGAAAUAAAAUGUAGAAAUUUGAUCUAAUUAUGGUUUUAAUCCUUCUAUUAUGUUGAAAUUUGAAAUAUAAUGACAUAAUUUGGUCUUGCUAUUUUCGUAAUGUUAUUAGUAUGAUUAUACUAAUGACAUGCAUUCUUUUUCAAAGAAUAACUUUAACGAUUCAAUUCUUAUGCAAAUUUAUCAUUGAUUAAACAUGAUUCACUAGAUUUCUAUUGGUUUUUUUUUUAAGUGUACACAUAUAGAUAUAAUUACAAGCAAUACAUAUCUGAAAAAACUAUAACUAGAAUUAGGUAUUACAAAGCACAAUCGGACUAUAGCUUUGGAAAGGACCACACAUGAUGAGAUUAAGUCAAAAUAAAUUUGAAGACAACCCAAAUAUGAUUUGCGUAAUGUAAGAGUCGAAUCUAGACCAUUAAGAUCUUAAGACCUCAGUGUUUGCCAAUAAUGCGAAGGUCUAAUUAGCUAUUUUUAUGUAGCUUUGACCAUGUCAUUGAAUAAUAGUAAAAGAAAAUCUAUGGUCAUCACUUUUAACAAAAGUAACUCUUGACGUUAUCAAAUUGAAUUUACUAAUAAAGUAGGAACUGAAUUACUUGAAAUCAUAGAGGGACUAAAACCGAAAUUAGACCAUAAGAAAAAUGGUCUUCCCCUCCGACUAAAGCAUGGUGUAAAGGACAAAAGGGCGGAGGGAAACAUGGACUGUGGCAAUUGGCCUAUAAAACACAGACAAAAUUGACUUUGAGAUUGAGAGAAAGAGAGAACAAUGGAACCUGAUUGGAAAAGGACAUUGAUAUUUGAUAAGCACUCAAAUUAUUGCGGAGACACAGACUUAACUAUCAUAUUGCAGCUUUUUUAUUUUUUAUUGUCACUAUAUGCUAGAGGAUUGGGUAAGGGGCCAACUUUAAGUGAUGAAAUGCAAGCACGAAUAUGGGGUUUUUUCAGACUUUCUUGAGGUGAACAAAAAAAGUUGGGUCCAAUUGCUAGCAUCUCUGUUAUCAUGUGAAAUUACUGAUUGGUUGACAGGUUGAAAAAACAAAAAAGAUGUUCCCAAUGUUCAUUAAUCUAAGUGCAAUUUGUCAUCAUAGGCUUUGUGUCAUUUUCAUAUGACUAAAUGAAAAACCAAGAGAGAAAAUGUGUACAACUAUAUAAAAAUCUAUAAAGUAUGAAUAUCAAAUAAAGUUUUUCUAUCAACUUAUUUAAUGGUGUAGACAUUAAAUGUUGGUUCAAAUAUUACAUAAAGCAUGUUUAAUUUGUAAACAUGUCUAUAUUGAGGGUAUAGUCAUGGGGGGCAGAAAAUGCCUUCGUCAUUGGUUAAAUGGCAUAAUAAUAAUUUUAGUUAUCGUAAAUACUAAUAGUUCAAUUUAGGCCAUUUUAAAACAAUAUUUUUAAUCUUGGGUUCGCAAAAUUUUUGUUGAUACAGAGAAUCAACAAAGGGGAGAUAAGAAGGAAAAUGUGGUGGGUGUUUGGAGGCUGGUUCACCUGUGAUAGGUGAAGAGCUGAAGGAAGGAGUUAAGAAGGAGGAGGAGAAGGCUAAAGAAUGCUUAGGUUAUCGGGUGGAAUACUAGGCCUUGACGGUCCCUCUCUAUCUCAUACAUUAGGCUAUAUGUAAGGGAGGUCCCCUUGUCUAAUAGUGCCACGUCAACAGUAAUCCAAGGUGUAGGGCCAUCCAUAGGGGCUUGCGUACAUGUCCAAGCUGGAGUAAGGGUGUAACAAUUUUAUGACUUUAUUUUGGCCACCCCAAUGCCAAAUUCCUAACUUUUCCCAUAUAUGUAUUUGCUGUAUAGACAACUUGGAUAUAACAUGUUAAAAGAACAAAAAUAAUCCCCUUAAAAAUUUAUUGAAAUUGCAUGAUUUCUUUAGCACACCAGAUUAAAGUCGUCCACUAUAGUUACACCAUGUUUACAAUUUGAUCCAUAUGUAUGUUCCGUAUCAAUUAUGAAUUGACAUUUAACAACUAAGUUAAUAGAAGGACUCAACAAGAACAUUUUGAAGUUCAGAGACCAAUUUAAAAUCAAAACCAAGAUUUGGGUAUGUUUUGAUACAAUUUGAUCUACAUAUUCGAAAUAAGUCCUACGUUAAAUCCGAAUUAACAUUUGACACCUGAACUAAUGCAAGGACGUGGUUGAUACAAUACUACUGCAAUGAACCCUAAAACUUGGGGUGUUCCAUAUGGUAUUGUUUGCUACACUUUUGCACUUUCUAACAUCUAUUAGAGAACAAAGAGAAUAUGCUGUUUUUAUAGCUGUAUUACAGCAAAGUAAUGGGAGAAAUUAAUUUUCAAAAAGAAAUUGUAUAUACAUAUGAUUUAAGAUGUAAACGAAAAUUAAGAAUAUUCUUAUUAAGUUAAUGAGGAGUGGACCACUAUUUAUUAAGAUUUUGGUUUGUUUGAUAAACAUUUGUGUUAAAAAUCUCCUUAAUUAUGGGGGGAAACUUUGAUUAGCCAGCAAAAUCUAAUCACCAAAUAGCUGUUGAGCAUAUACUUGAAGUUGGAAGGUUGGGAAACAAGAGCUCUACAUGUCGGGAUAAACAUGGCAAAUCAUUAAUUUAAUUUUUGUUUACCCACUUUGAAUUAAUUAUUUAAUUAGUCCGAAAAUAAUAUAUGGUUUUAUUAAAUUCACAAACAACAACUCAAAAGCAUUGGGUAAAGGAAUCCCUUCCCCCCAUAUGCCAUGCGCAUCUUCUUCAACUUUAUUUUAUUUAUUUAUUCAUAUACUGCCAUGGAUGUUUAGAGAAUCUCUCACUCACACACUAUCUCUCUUGCUUCGUUUCAUCCUUAUCCUUUUUCUUAACACCUUGGUUAAACUUUAAGAAAUCCAAGGUUAACCUUGGUAAAGGAAACAAAAUGAAAGCUGGUAUCAUCCAUAAUCAAGGUCUUGUCUUCUAGUUUUGUUGAGGGUCUUGGAAUUGAGUUUAGAGAGGUUUAUUUUAAAUUUUUAAAACUUUUGGGGGCUUAAUGAAAUUUUUCAAAAAUUGUGGAGUUUGAUUAAAAUUUUAAAAGUUUUGAAGGUUUUAAUAAGAAUUUCAAUAAAAUUUUUGAGACUUAAGUGAAAUUUAAAGAGAUUUUUCAAAAAUAAUAAGGAGUUAAUUAAUUUUUUAUGAAAAUUUUUUAAGAAGACUCAUAGAAUGAAAGCAUCUUAGAGUGCUUCAAUAAACAAAAAUCGUGGUCAUUAAAGAGCUUCUCAAGCUCACGGCAAGAUUCAAACUCAACACUUCUAGCAAGGACGAAGGUAAAGAGGGUAGGCAGUGACCUUAGUCCCCCUCAAUAAUUUAUGAUUCAUCUCCGACCCCUUGAAACAAUUUUCUAACUUCAUUCAUAACAUUUUCACCACUUAAGAUGGGUUUUAGAUGGGUGGUACACUUACCUGCGGUUAGUAUAAAAAUAGCGAUGACAGUAAGAUUAGAUACUAUAAUGAUACUGUAACGUAAAACAAAAAAUAAACUAAACGCAAUGCACCAUAUACAUCCAAACCCACCCUUAAACUAAUUGAUGUGUCUCGAUUCUAGUGAGAAGAUUACAAAUUCUACAAGCCGAAAGCUACAUAAGCACAAAGAAAAGUAAAGAAACACCAAGUUGAUUUAAAAACAAAAAGCCUUUUUUAACUUUCACUUAAUUAGCAACCAAGAAAUCAAUAAAUAGCAUUAUAAGCUUUUUAUCUCUUUCCCACCACUAGUGAAUUGACUCUAGAAAUGAAUGCUUUUCUUUUUCUACUACAUUCACCCUUCCUACGUUGACAAACUUUUAUCUUUGUCCCUAUUUGGACAAAUAUACAUACAUAUACAUUAUAUAUAUACCUAUUUAGACAAAGAUUUGCAUUAUAGCACUCAUUUUGAAGGCAAAAAACCUUAGCCAAUUUACUCCAUGUUAGAGACAGGUUUUUUAUGGCAUAACCCUAUCCUUUCAUGUUACGUGUUCUGUAUUUACUCUUGUGGAUAAUAAAUCUUAUUAGCCAAAAAGCAAUUUUACUCAUAAUGUAUAUGGAUUCCUUUGAGAUAAAAUCAUGCCUAAUUGAGAUAAAAAUUGUGAAAAAUAUAAAGUUAAUAAGCUUUAUAAUUUCCUCCUCCUUUACCACCGCUAUUGUUUGUCGUUGGGUUUUUUUAAUUUAGUGCAUUGAAUCAUAACUGUUGGAAUCUUUAUAUGAAUUUUAAAGAUUACAUUGCCGAAGGGAGUAGUCACGAAAUUUAAAAGAUCUUUAUAAAUCAUAAAAUCGGACAAAAAAAAUAUGAUGAUCAUAUUAAAAAUUGAUAUUUUCGAGAAAGGAGAGGCAAGCAGCGACUUUUGACUCCUUUUGAAAUUGAAAAUUAUGUUUUUAGCUUGAAGAUUUAUAAAAUUUUAAGUCAAAUAAAUGAUAAAUAUAUAGUUUGACCCUCUAAAAAUGAUAAAAUUUUAAUUUAAUCAUUCUAAAAAAUAUAAAGAUAUAUGCUAAUACAACUAAUACAAUAGUGAAAUUGAAUUUUAACUUUCAUAAAAAUAUAUAAUUCAAUCUCAACUCCCUAAAAAAAUUUUCGACCUUAUCAAUGUCAAAUAAUUACAUUAAAUUUCGAUUAAAAAUUUUAAACAUAAUAUUUUAAUUUACAUUUUUAUAAAAUUAACAAAAAAAAAAUAAAGACAACGAUAAACACACCUUGAAUCUACAAUCAAAUGGAGUGAAUCCCAACAUAAAAUAAAACUCUCUCAAAUAGAUAAGAUUCAAAAUUCGACUUUCUACCCCACUUAUCCUACAUGAGUGGUAAGGUAUUGAGUAUUAGGUUUUAGACGCAAGGUGGGGAGAGGAAGAUGAUGAUAAAUAUGGCGGCGGCUGGCUAUUUUGGGGGGGGGGGGUUGAUUUUAACAGUGGGAGGAAGUGUAAAGGAAAAGAAGGUGAUUGGUAUGCAGCUGAGACAACUGUCUACAUCUGAAACUGAAACUAAAACACGUGUUUGGAUGGAAACAAGGUGGUCCUAAAAAGUGGUACUUUUAUGGGGGUGGUCACACGGAAUAAUGUGGUUUGGUUGGCACCCCCAUGUGCCCUUCUCUUUGCCACCAAAAAUCUCUCUUUGAGUUUUGUCUCCCCCUACCCGUUUCCUCUUUCUCUAACCUCUUUCAAUUGUUUUGGUUAAAUUCAACUCACAAUCUAUUAUGCAAUUGUAAUGAGAUUCAAAUUUUAUCUUAUUCUUUCAUUAAAAAAUAAUUAAUCUUUAUACGAAAAAAAUUAUCAAUUUUUACGAUUAAAAACUAAUUUAUGUACAUCAGGUACACAUGACACGUCAUAAUUAACUGUCUAGUUAUUUCUUCAACUAAAUCAAUUUUUAACAGUAAAAAUUGAUAAAAAAUUUAACAAAAAAAGACCAAUUUUCUCUUUAAUUUAAUGUAUAAGAAUUAAUUUAUCAUUUUUUUAGUAAUGGGGACAAAAUAUAAUCUGACUCCGACUAUAAGGGCUUCUAUGAUAUCUUUACCUCUAUACAUUUAAUUUGGUCAUUUUAGUUUCUGUACUUUUUGAAUUGAUUGAUUGUAGUCGUAUUUGAACAAAAUGUUAGCAGUCAAAUUCAUUUUAUUAAAUUCUGCUACUAGUCUUGUACUACGUGUAAAGUUAUAGAUUUAGUUCAUAUUUUCUAAUUUAAUCAUUUUUAAUUCUUGAUAGUUUUUAAAAUUUGAAAUUUCAAUCUUAAUGCAAAACAAUAAUCGUUAAACCAAUUAACCAACUUUUUCUGUAAGUGAUAAAUGAAAAUAGCAUAUUGAUUAAAACCAAAAAUUAAAAAUUUAGAAAACACCAACACUAAAAAUGGCUCAUAAUCACGCAUAUAAAACUUUAAUGGCUCGAAUUUGAAUUAAACAUUAACAUUUUCUCUCUAAAUCUAUCAAUUGGUGCAUAUCUCUUACUAAUUAUUUUUUUUUCGUGAAUUACAAAAGGAGAGUAAAAUUCUAACAGCAACGCAAGUAGCGCAAUUCUAAUCUAGGCCAUCAUGCCAACACACAGAUUCCAUUAAUUUUCUUAUUUAUUAUUAUUGCUUCACACAAUAUGGAAAACACCGUAACAUAACGUAACAUAACUAUUGUUUUACUUGUGAAGUAUUUUACUAGAUCACUACUUCCCCGGUCGUGAAGUAAUUUUAUUAUUAUUUUUGGGUUAUGGAUGGUAAAAGAAAAAAUUGAAAUUCGAAAAUAGCUAUAAUUUGAAUAAAUUUAAAUUUUUUUAUUUAAGCUUAAAUUGAGUUAAACUCGAGUUAUUUUCAUAAAUAAAUUUUAAUUUUAUAACUAAAUAUAAAUAAAAUAACAAGAUUUUAUUAUUAGAAAUAGAAUAGUAAACUCUAAUUCGAAAAUACUUAAUUGAAGAUAAUAUUCAAAAUAAUAUGUGAUUUUUGGUCAAAUGUAUAAUAUUAUACAUGAAUUUUGAUUUUAUGUAAUUUUAUAUAUGAAAUGUUAAUUUGAUUUAAUUUUCAUAAACCUGUAACACUAUUAUUGAUAUAAUAUCGUUUUAUGUUUACAUAUGGCAUAUACAAAUAAGUAUACUUAUCCAGUAAAAAGAUAUAUUUACUUCUUUAAACAUGUACGAUUGAAUCAAAAUAAAAAUUUUAUUUAUACACUUAAACUGCAAUUAAAAUUUUAUGUAUAAAAUUAUACCAAACCAAAAUUUAUAUAUAAUUUUGAUAUUUAUCCACUUCGAAGUUUGUGCACAUAUAUAUUAUAAUAAGUACAACAUAAUCAAAACCAACUAAUAUAGGGGCAUUAGUUAAGUGGAAUAAUAUCAAUUUCAACCCCUUUCAAUUAUAAAAUAUUCAAUAUAAAUUUUAAACAAUUUUUUUACCUUUAACCCUUAAACUUUUAAAAUUUUAUUUCGACCCCAAUAUGGAAUUCUUCGCCCUUGACAUAAAUAAAUCUAAAAAUAAACUACCCAAAAUUUUAAUUUUCACUCAAUUUGGUCUUGGAACUAGUGAUGGGUAAAAAAGUUUAAAAAAAAUUUUAAAAGCUAUGGGGUUAUUGGCUAAAGCCAAAAAGGAUAGCAUGAGUUGGCUAAUAGUGGUCAUUAAAAGAGUUGGAGAUACCACCUAAUUGGACAACAAAAGGUGACUUGCCAUUGCACGUCCAAAUCCAGAGGCCAACCAUAACUCAUUUGUUUAUUGAUUUGGGAUCCCAAUAAACCCUUUUGAUUUUUUUGUAUUUGUAUUUGUUCCCUUGCUAACCCUUCACCUUUUAUCUUAAUUACCUAAUUAGGAAAGCCUAAUCCAAACCCCAUCUUUAUUUCAGGAUUAGGAAAUUUCAUGGAAGCUAUCAUUCUUCAAUUUAUAUUGUGAAUAAUUAAUAAAAAUUAUGUGAGAUGAGGAAAAUAUCUUUUUCUUCCCACCUUUUAAUUGGUAUAUCUAUUUUCCCAUUUGGAAUUUUCAUUUUAAGUGCCUUAUCCACUUUUUUAGUCCAAAAAUAUCAUCUUACUAUAAAUUUAAUUCAAUUUCACAAUAAAAAUUAUACUAAAUAAAGGGUCUUUAUCGACCUGAUCUCUAAAUAAUUCCCAAAACAAAUUUUAAAGUUUUUGAUUAAGUUGGUAUGCUCGUAAUCGAGUCUCAACUAGUAUAUUUUAUCUUUCACUCACAUCAUAAAUGUAAUAUAAUCUAGUUUUUGAUAAUUAUCAAUAUCAUUGCAAUAUCUUUUUCCCUUAUCUCUAAACUUGAACUUCUUUUAUAUAUAAAAUCUCGAUACAUGCACAAGUUUAUUAGAAAAGUGAAAAUAAACUAUUUAAAGCAUAAACUUUCUUUUUUGUCCCAAAUUUGAUAUACCAAAUAUUGAAACACAACAAAGGGGCAUUGUUGUCAUUCAAAAUGCAAAUGAAGUUGCCAUCUUUGAAUAGUGUACUCCUUUUGUAAGUCCCACUCAACCCUAUAAAUAAACAACAUUACUUCACAAACAUAUCCACUUCUCUUAGCAUAGAUAAAACCCAUUGCUAAAUUCAAGAGCAAAAAAAAAAAAAAAAAUCUUAAAUAAAAAAAAAAUUCAUCAUGACAACCCAAAUGAAAGAGCUUGAAGAUCCAAUGGCUCUAAUCACCCAAAUGUACCCUUGCAUAUACACUCAAGUUGCACCACAACAAGGUAAAUAAUUUGUGUACUUAAACUCAAAUCCUUUAUGAUUUCUUUCAUUACUCUUGGUAACUUAUAGGAACCCUUUUUUUAAAUGGCAGGGGAAAUAUCGAAGCCUCGACGACGACGGAAGAAGAACAAGGGAGGGGAAAGCGGGGCGGCAACCGCGGCGGAGACAGCUAAGAAAAGGAAGCUUAGCCAAGAACAAGUUGAUCUUCUUGAACUUAACUUUGGGAAUGAACAUAAACUCGAGUCCGAGAGGAAAGACCGACUCGCUUCGGAGCUCGGUCUGGACCCUCGGCAGGUCGCGGUUUGGUUCCAAAACCGAAGAGCUCGUUGGAAGAACAAGAAGCUCGAGGAAGAGUAUAGCAAGUUGAAGACAAUCCAUGAAGGUGUUGUUCUUGAGAAAUGUCGCCUUGAAUCCGAGGUAUAUAUAUAUAUAUAUAUAUAUAGUUCAUACAUUUUUUGAACAGAAAUGAUUUAGUUGAAUGUUCAAACACAAACUCUUUUCUUUAUUUGAAGCUUUUAACCAUUUUUAAAAAAAAACCAUUUUCUUCUUUUGGUUUCUCAGGAACCAAACAGAUGUUAAUAAUACUAUCAGGCUGUUUCCUUCUUACUCAUAUAAAGCAUGUCCUGUUUUAUAGUCAAAUUUUAUUUUUAGUCCCUUUAUUAUUUUCAAAUUUUAGAUUUUCUUAAUUAUUUUAAUUAAAAUGCUGACAAUAUUUUUUUAAAAAUGCUUUCCAACUCAUCAUACUAUCAUAAUUUUUUUUUGGAAAACAAAAAAAAAUCGAAUUCAAUAUUUGGACGAACUAAUAAUAUUAUACAAAUAAAUAGAUAAAAACUGUUAAACUAAAGAAAUUUGGGAGUAAAUCUAAAAUUUAAAAUAGUAAAAGCACCAAACUAAAAUUUUGACUUUUUUUUUCACGAGGGCUUAGUUCCGCAAUUUACGAAUUUUUUUAAAGAAAAAAAAUUAAUUAUUAAUUAACAAAAGAAAUUAAGAGCGUUGGUUCGAAGAAAAUCAAGCAAGUGCUUAUCCCUUUCAUAUCUUUUAUCCUUUGAAAACAAUAAAGACAAAAGGGUUUACCCCACCAUUAAGUAGAACAUGCAUGAGCUCUAGGCUCGAAGAAAAACAAUGCCAUGUUGUUGGGUUUAGUCCAUUAAAAAAACUUUCCGAAAAGAAAUUUCAGACAAAAAAAAAAAAAAAGAACAAUGACAUGGGACAACAAGCCUUUGCCUCCCUUUAUUACACAACAAAAGAGUACUUGAAAUAUCCCUAAUCCAAAACAUGUGUCUUUUAUGUGAAAUUCGAAUCUUAAAAUUUACAAUUUCUUUUUCUGGGUAGGUUUUAAAGUUGAAGGACCAACUUCGAGAGGCUGAAAAGGAAAUUCAAGGAUUGACAGAACGAGUAGACGGAGUUUCGAGUAAUAGUCCGAGUUCGUCGUCGGUUCUUUCUAUGGAAGCCAUGGAUCCACCACCUUUCCUAGGGGAAUUUGGAGUACAAGGAUUUGAGGAUCAAGAUGUUUUCUAUAUAGGGCAAAAUAGUUACAUUAAUGGCAUGGAGUGGAUGAAUCUAUAUAUGUGACUUUAACUUUAAUAUGUGUAAAUAAUUAUGAUAUUUAAAAAUAUAUUAAAUAUAAUGUAAUUAUAUCCUAAUUAACUUUAAAUUUAGAGAUUAAUGUUAUUAACUACUAUAUUAAGUAUACUUACCUUUUGACUAGGAUGGUUGAGUGAAGUUGAUAAAGUCUUAACUAUAUUUCUUCUUUCUUGUUUCCCCUCUUGAUUAAUUAAUUAUCAUAAUUUCCCUUCCAUUUUUUACUAAUAAAGAAAAUUUUAUAUACCCCAAAGACUUUAAAGUCUUUAACCCAUUGGCUGAAAUUAGUUCAUCCAUAUUUGAAACUAGAGUUCAAUCUGUAGGUUCGUUUGUACAGUAAUAUAAUAUAUUCGCGUUUAGGUAUGUGAGAUUGAACUUGUAUUAUAUAAAAAAAUUAUAAUUAAUUCCACUCGACCUGACUACAAUUAGACUCAAAUCAUAAAACCGAUUAGAUCAAAUCAGGAUAAGAUUUAAUUGUAGUCUUUGGACUUUUGAAAUUUAGUCCUUUUACUUUUAAUUUCAAGAAUAUAGUCUUUUUAUUUGUCUAAUUUAAAAAUUAAAGUCUAAUUGAUAACAUUGUUUACUAAAUUUUGUUAAAUCUGAAUAUGUAUUAUCAAUUCAAUUUUAAUUUUUAAAUCUGAAUUUUGAAUAUUGAAAUGCCACGUAUUCAAAUUUAAUAGAAAAUUCAUUAACAAAUUUUAUCCAUUAGACUUCAAAUUAGACAUAUACAAGGACUAAAUUCCUAGAAAUAAAAGUAAAAGGACUAAAUUUUAAAAAUCAGAAGAAUACAUGGGCCACGGGCAUAAUUAAACCAUCAGAAUAAUGCAUACAUAAAAAUGAUGAUGAUCUUCACACACUUAGGGAGGUUUGAUUCAAGGAAUGUAAGACUACAUUUUGUAAUUUCAUUACAAGAAUGUAAAAUUAUGGGGUGGAAUGUUUGGUUGAUAGAAUGUAAUAUUAUUUAGAACCACAUUUUACUAAAUUAUCUUUAUUAUAGAUUUUUUUUUAAAAAAAAAUUAGUUCCUUCAAUGUUUUUAGUCUCAAUUUUCAUAAAAUUAUUAUAAUUAUUUUUUAUUAUAAUUUAUAUAUUAAUAAAUAUAUGAUGUUAAAAUAAAUUUAUAAAUUAUAAUUAUAAUAAUUCUUGAAAAGCAAUUGCAUUACAAAUCAUAAUUAGACCUAACUUUUAUUGGAAAAAAAAAGAUUGAACUAAUAAAAAUAAUAAAAUAAAUGGUAAAUAUGUGGUAAUGAGAUUAUACCUUAUAUUACAACAUUUUAACAUUAUUUACGAUUGUGGGAUUAUAAAAUGACUGAAAUGUUGAGAAUUUAAACAAUGUAAUCUUAUUCCGAAGUAUAACAUUACGGACUAUAAUAUAAGAUGGAAUAAUAUUUGAUAUACUGUCGAUACAUAAGUUUUGUGCAUCAUUGGUAUUGAAUAAUAACAUAACUAUUAUAAAUAAAUAUUAACAACUCUUGAAUUUAGGAUUUUGGGUUUAAAGGUUUAGGGUCUCGAAUCUCGAGUUUAGAAUUUUAAAUUUAAAAUUUUAGCAUUUAUUUAUUAAUCCUUCACUAUUUUUUAUUUUAUUUUAUAAUAAAAUAUUAUGUUAUUAUUCUUUGAUAAUGGUUACAAUUUAUACGCCACAAUGCAUCGAAUAUUCUCACGAGGAAUAUUUAAAAUUCUUAAAUUCAUGAGGAACUUUUGUAGGGCAUCAUCAUCUUUAGAGGUGUGUAUUCGAUCGAGUCGAGUCGAAUCAAGUUAAAAAUUUUUGAGUUAGCCGAGUUGACGAAUCCUAUUUUAGCAACUAAACUCAAUUUUAAUUAUUUUAGAAUCAAAUCGAAUCGAGUCAAAAAAUUUCAAGUCGAGUUAAAAUACUAUUAUUUAUACUCAAUGUUGCAUUUACAAGGACCGAUUAUUUAACAAGUAGACGAAGUAUAAUAUUAUUUAACUACAUAAACAGUAUAAACAAUAUAAUAGUUUUGCCUUUUAACUUAAUGAGUAAACAUUUAUCAAAACGACAUAAUUUUACCUUUUAACUUAACGGUUUUGACUUUUAACUUUAGAAAAUGUAAACUUUUAUCAAAACGACGUAGUUUUGGUUUUUCUUAUUCUGAUUUUCGAAUAACUCGAAUUGUGUAAUUCAUAUUCGAGUUAAACCGAAAAAUUUAAUUUUUUAUUCAAACUGAUCCGAAAAACUUAAUUAACUCAAAUAACUCGAAUUAUUUAAUUCAAAAUUUAAAUUUUUUAUCAAAUUUUUUCGAAUCAAAACAACUUAGACUUGCGUGAGACAUUAUAUUAUAUUUGCAUUUUUAUGGCCAAUAUGUGUUGCCAUGAAAAUAUCAUUCUCUUUGUCUCAGCCAUUGCCACUUGUUACAAUGUAGAAGAUUCUUUUUUUUUUUUUACCUCAAACAUUUGACUCAAUUAUUGAUACAUCUUUAUUUUAAAAGGGUUGAAUUUGAUUCCCUUUGUAAAAUUUGUUUAACUCAAUUUUAAAAUUAUCUAAAAUUUGAAUUUGGAAUAACUUAAUUCUUUUGUUGAAAUUAAAACUCGAUUGGACUCAAUUUAAUCAUAAAAAAUUACGAUAAAAAGUUAUCUAAUACAAUUUUAAAAUUAUAAGAAAUAGAAAUAAUUUGAAUUCAAAAUAACUCGAAUUCGAAAUCAACCAAAUAUGUUACAAUAAGUGGAGUAUUUACAUAUGGAAAUAUAGAGGGUAUUUGAUUUAGCUUUUUAAACAACAUUAUGUUACAAAAAAGGAAAAGCAGUUCAUGGAAGGGCAUAUUCAUGAAAAAUGCCGACAAAGAUUACGAUGAUGAUCAUGGUUUUUGUUUGUUGAUAAAAGGGUAAAUUAAAAACAAGUUAGCAAAAGUAAUUGAUAAAAAUAUCAUAAAGGCCCUUAUAUUAAGAGUCUAAUUGUAUUUUAUCUUCUCCAUUAAAAAAUAGACAAAUUAAUCCUUAUACGUUAAAUCAAAUAGCAAGUCAAUCUUUUUUUUUAUUAAAAGUUUUAUCCAUUUGUAUUAUUAAAAAUUGGCGUGGCAUGCCAAGUGUACCUCAUGUUGAUGUACAGUGACUCGUUUUUAAUAGUAAAAAUGGAUGAAAUUUUUAACAGAAUGAUCAGUUUGCUAUUUGAUCUAAUAUACGGGAACUAAUCUACCCAUUUUUUAGUAAAAGGGAUAAAAUGUAAUCUAACUUUUAAUACUGAAACUUCCUUAAUACUUUUAUCCAAAAGAAUAUUAAAUAUUUGCAAUAAUGAAGCUAAAAAAUGAAAGGAUAAAAUGAUAAAAACAUGAUUGAUGAUAUAUAAACAGGGACUACCACAAGGACAACACAAAAAAUACAAGAGAUAAAAGCAAUUUCUUAAAUUUUUUUGGUCUACAUUAGUCUUGGAAUUUGACAGUUUUUUUCAACUGAUUCCUAAACUUAAGUUUCAUUAAAGUGUCACGAUAUGACACUUUAAAAUUAUGUCCUAUUAUCACUUGAAAUUUUAAAAAUUAUAUAUACUUUCUUCAUAAUAUUUUAAUAUAAUUUUUUUAGAAUUUAUAUAAUUUUUAAAAUUUUCAGAUGAUGAUUUGAUUUUCUCCCUUAAUGGAAUCUAAGUCCAAUAAUUAAAUUGAGAAAAAUUAUCAAGUACCAAAAUUAAAAAAUGAGAACAAAAAAAAACCCUCAAACACCAAAUUGAAAAAAUUGUCAAAUUGAGGGAUAUAUGAGGAAUAUGUGCUUUUGGAGGACAUUGUUGUUCUCGCCAGAAGAUUGCGUGAAAUACCCCAAUUUUGCAAUUUAAGGUUGUUGGUCGGUGGCCAAGAUAAGUGUGGUGUUGAAUUCUUGUUAUUUAUUUUAUAAGCAUGAAUACUUUUUAUAUAAUUUUGAUAUGCUAAUAACGUGCAUUAUAAGCUCCGAACAUGAAUCGUAAAAUAAAUAUGAAAAAAAUCUCCUAUUCCGAAUAUCUCUCAUGUAUUUUAAUCUUUAUGUGUGGCGCUGGACCAAUCCCAACAUCUCCCACUCGCAUUGAAGAUUAAGCUUCAAGAAAUUGUUUUUUUUUCUCUCUUCAAGGUUCAUACAAGGAAAUAGCUCGUUUGACCAAUAUACUUUAUUCUUAAGAAUCAUCUAUUAUACUAUUAGGUAUUUAUAGCAAGUAAUAAAUAUGAGUAGAGUUAGUAUGCAACACCCUAAAUCCAUUUAAUCAUAUUUCAAGUUUCUCAUGAUCUCUUAUGUUGUUGAUGAUAUAGUAAACUUUAAGAUUCACAAUUGUGUCAAUAAGACACAGUGAUGAACUUCUGUUUUCAUCAAAUCUCUUUAUUUCAAUUCAACUGCUCUUUAAAUAUGUCACGUUAGAUCGAAUCAUGCACGAUUAGUGGUAACAUACUAAGAUAGCUAACAUUGACUUGAAAUUUCAAGAAACAGUCAGAUGUCAUAAAGGUACUUAAUAGAGAUCUCUAGUUGAUCUCAUGGGUCUUACACGACUUAAAAGCACAUGUCAAAUCUUUUAUUACCCGUUUUGAUUAUAUAAGCACAUGUGAUAAAAUACAUGCUAUGAUACUACUCUCUUAUAUCGUAGAGUGCAUGUCUUUAUCAGAAUUCCAAUAUCAUAGAGUUUAUUUCUUACUAACUUAAGAGAUUGCACCGAUAUUUAGUAAAAAAACAUAUCAAUAAGGUAAUUUUUUUUUACAAACAAUAAUUAUUUCAUCUAUAGAACCUAGUGAUUGUUCAAUUUAAUAUUAUCAAAAAUAUUUUAUAAUCUAUUGGAAAUUUUCAAUUUUUUUCAAUUUCCUCCCCAAUUAUUCUUUAGGGCCAUUGAGAGUUGGCUUUGCUUAAAGUAAACAGCCCAUCCAUUAGUGUAUCUUUACAAGCCCAUCACAAUUUAUUGUUUUAGGCUAUAGAUCAACAAUGCAAUGAUGAUUCAUUAUAUUUGGGUUAAUUUCAUCAACAUAUUUAAAUUAUCGUCUAGAUUUUAAAUUCAUUCCUAAAUUUCAAAACGUUCUAGUUCACCGUCAAAGUAUCAAUAAAAUUUUAACAACUAAUUCAUAUACGAUGUGGAUAAUGUUUAAAGUACAUAAAUCAAAAUUUACAAACGUGUACCACCAGAUAAAUACACUAGUGUUUACGAUUUAAUCAUCGUAUUUUAAACAUAUUUCGAGUCGGAUUUGAAUUAACCUUUAAUACUUAAUGAUUAAGUUAAUGAAAGAAUGUUGUCAAUUUAAAAGGCGAAUUUAAAAUUAGAACAAAGGCAAAGAAAAUCAAGAUAAAGAGCUCAUGAAAAAUAGGUUUUGUUCGAAUCUUGAUUGUGUGUAACUCUUUAAGUUUACCUGAUUUCAUCUGCGUCACUCCUCAACUUUGAGUAAACUGAUUUGAUAAUGAGAUGUUUUGGCACAUGUUGAUAAAUCUUGUUAUGUACUCUUAAAUAAAUAUUAUUUAGAGCCAUUAAAAUAAGAUCUGAUUUUAUUACUUAUUAUAUUAGUCUUAUUAAAGAAUAAAAUCAUACUUGCAAUUUCAAAAUUCGGAUAAAAACUUCAAAUUUACAAAUAAUUGUGUAUAAUAUUAGAUUAUUUUAACUUUUUUUAUGAUAUAUAUUAUCAUUAUAAUUUUGUUUAUGUUUUUUACGUACGAUUUAUGGUCCACGUUCAGAGUUUAAAGUUACUCCUCCCAAUAAUUACAUCUCAGAAAAAACUUCAACCCUCACCCACCGAAGCAAAGCAAAAAAUAAAUAGAAUUUGAUUUAAUUAUUGGGGUUUAACCCCUUGGAUACAUAUUUUUUGGGUUACAAAUUUUGUGUUGCAUUUAUAUUUAUAUAAAUAUUAUUACAUAUUAUUUAUAUAAUUUAUAUAUACUUUUAUAUAUAUAUUGGAUAAAGAAGAAACUAGGCACUAAAGGGACUCCAUUCUCCUACCUCUUUUAGUACAAUUUAACUACCAGCAAUUUUUUUUAAUUUAAUUACCAAAUUAAAAUUUAAAAACCCCCAUGCAAAAAUACUAAAAUUCUAAAAAUUCCAGCUAGGCUAAAUUUCUUACAUUCAACACCUCCAUGCUGACGUGGCAACCAAGGCACUCUCGUACCAGCAAAGCACCAACUCAGCUUGUCUUUUCGCCACGUGGAAUCCCCUGACCUGAACUUUCCCCAGUAAGCACUCCGCUUGGAACUCCGCCAACUGGCUCAAAUGCACAGCCCUCAUCCCCGCCCCACGGAACCUCUCCCUCCACGGGGGAGCCGUACUCCUCGCCGCCGUUUCCACUGCAGCUAAUAUCCUUGGCCGGAGAAGCAACGUCUCUAUUUUCCUCACCCAUUCCCCGUUCCCCACGACCGCCGCAUCCAAAGACUCAAACAUCAUAGCGUAGAAUUCCAGUCCGUUAACGAAAUUCUUCCGGAACGAUGUCGUACCGGACUCCAUCCAAACCUCGUUAUCAACAAACACGACGAUGGUAGGAUUAACCCGCCGGAGAUCGUUCAAGAACGCCGUUACGUUUAAACCCAAAGACCGGAAAAUCAACGGAGAUAAAAGGAUCGCCGUUUUUUCACCGUCGAUGAACUUAAAAGCUUUAAAAGACAACAUUUCGAAAGUACGAAGUAAAACAAAUUCAAUCUGGAACCUUAAUUUAAGCUCUGAAGCGAACUGUACAAGGUUGUCUUUAAUUAACCUUGUUUCAAUAGCGUAUUCUUCUGGUACCACCGCUGUUACACGUAUGAACUUACGUGAAUGGUCAUGUCUUUCAAACAUUUCUCUCAUCAGCGACGCGUAUUGACCGCCGAAUCCGAUAUCGAAAUCGAUGAUGUGAAUCAACGGUGAUGAUCCAUCCAGUACUGCUUCCAUUAAAGCUUGAUUGGUCGUGAAAUGACUAAACAUCGGAAUCGGAUUAAUCCCUGAAAAAGCUUUGUAAGCUUUGAUUGUUUGAACGAUGUCGUUCCACGACGAUAACCGAGUCGUACGAGUUAACCCGCCGGUGAGAAGAGAUAAAAGAGCUUCUUUGAAAUAAAACGCCGCUCUUUGUAACGGCUUGCCGGACGGUGACCGUAGCCGCUGACCAAGCCGAGCUAAUAUCACCUGAGCUAGCUGGAAUUCCUGGGUGUCGAAACAAUCAGCGGCUCGUACAAGCUCUUCUAUAAAAUCAAACCCGGAAUUGAAGUUCCCCAUAUUAUUAAAACCAUAAGUAGUAGUAUUAGAAAUAUCAAUAUUAUGAGACGGGUAGAAAUCAUAUAGAUUGUUAAACUCAGUUGGGUGAGUUAACUCGCAGGAAGUAAACUCAGGGAGGUUCUGUAUAUGAUUCUCUUGUGGUGGAAUAGUUUUGAUGGACGGUACUGAUUCAUCAUCUAAUCCCAAAUCUUUCAUGAUGGAAUCCCAAUCCAUGUUUCGUAACACAUGUUCAUCCCACUCGAGUGGAGCUUGAUGCUGCUGCUGCUGUUGUUGAUGCUGAUGAUGAUCCACCGGAUUAUCAUGCCCGGGGCUCGGGCUUCGCCGAAGUUCAAGAACUGAAGUAGGCUCAUAAAUUGAAGUUGGAACACUGUUAAUAGUAGCACCAUGGAAACUUAUGUUCCUAGUACUACUAGUGUUACUAUUGUUGUUAGGUUUAGGGCUUUGGCAAUGGUUGCUUUGUGGAGAAGAAACAGGGACUCUCAUAGCUUUUUGGGUGGGGGGUUGAUUAUGUUAAAAUGAGUGUUCUUUUAGGGUUUGAAAGUGUAGGAGAAGAUGAUAAGGGGCUUUUAGAGGUUAUAAUUGCAGGCUUUUUAUCUUUGCAUGGAGGGGUUGAGUGGUCAAUGGGGGGGGGGGGAGGGUAUGGGUUGAAAGCCAUGGCAUUAUAUGGGGAUGAUGACAUAUUAUAUACAUACACAACAUAAGAUCAGACCUGUCUUUUUUUUUUUUAUCAACUUUGAAGCUUCAAACUCAAGCUUUUGCUUUCGUUUUUUUUUUUUUAAAUUUUCUUGUGGAGGAUUCUCACCCUUCAUUUUUGUUUCUUUUCAAGAUUUAUUUUAUUAGGUUUUAUAUAUAUAUAUUUAUAUUAGUCAUUUUUUUAUUUGAGAUUUACUAUUUAUCAUUACUCAUUCAAUUAUAUAUAUUUUUUAUCUAAUCAUGAAAAGUUACAAUAUAAUUAUUCAAUUUUGUCGUUUUCAGUCACCCUAUUAUCUUAGAUUUUUGAGUAUUUUAAUUUUUACGUUAACUUAUUGGGUAAUCAUCUUAUAACUUUUUAUAAUUAAAUAACCAAAAAAAGAACAUGAUUAGAUGAAUACCAAUAUAGUUUACCGUAAAAAGACGUAAUAACAACAUUUACAUGAUAUAAAAUUCGAAAAUUCGAAAAUUCGAAAAUAAAAACUUAAGAUCGUAAGGACUCAAUCUUAAUUAAUAGACAUGAAACCACACCUGUCCUUUUGAAAAAUAAGACAAAGGAAUUACUCUAAUAUCAUAAGACAAUAUAUGUCCAAACAACUAGAAAGCUAACCUUAUAAGUAACCAAACCAAUGGUGUCUAAUUUAAAAUUGGUCAAAAAGUGAAUUUUUAAAAUUUCACCAGAACUAUAUGAAAUAAAGUUAAACAAAUACAAUAUGCUAUUUUAUAUUGAUUUAACAAAAUAAAAUAAAAUAGAUGUUAAAAUAGAAGUAAAUAGAAAAAGGGUGUUUUGAAUUUGGAUCCAAAGAUGACAAAUAAGUCAACAUUUUGUGACUUAAAGUCUCAUUUUUUUUUCUUUUUCUUUUAUUUUGGUUUGCCCCCACAAAAGUAAUAAAAUAGGGAGCUAAAGACAAAGCAAAUUCACCCCCCUCCCCCAUUCACAUCACCUUAGAAAGGAAGGGCAUUAUCAUAAAGUAGUUUUGAGACUUUGAGAGUCCACUUUAUGAACCCAAACCCCCCAUGAUUGAUUUGUAAAUAUAUCUCUUUUUAAUCAAUAUCUAUAGAUAUAUACAAAUUUAUAAUUUUCUAAAAAUUGAAGGACUAUAUAAGAAAUUUUUCAUCUUUGGUUUUAAAAGUCACUUCCUACCUUCCUUCAUUUCCCUUAAUUAUCUUAAUAAAUUUGGUGUCACGAGUGAAUACAGAUACUAAAUUAAUAUUUUUUUUAAAAAAGAUAACACUAAAACUUUUUUAAGUAACUUUACAUCUUUAAAACUAUCAACUUUUCUCUUUAGGAAAGAUUAUAUUGGAUGUGACAAUUUUUUUUUACCUACAUUUUGUUCUAGUUUAGUAAAGAAGAAUUAAAGGGAAAAUGUAUAUUUGUAAGAAUUUAAUUAAAGAGUUUUAGCCUCUCUUUUUUUUAAGUUUUAUUUCGUUUUUGUUAUACAUCAAUGAUCAUUAAUUCGAAAUCUAGAUAAGAUUUGGGUUGCCUAUUCCCGACCCGGUCAGGCCCCACCAAAUGAAUAUGAGCGAAGCGUACAGCGAAGGGACAACCAAGGAAGCUCGCAAUAUCAGCUUACACAGACUGAGAGGAGUUCACGGUCUCAGCUCACAUAUACUCAAGGAGUUUGCAUGUCGGGGACCAUGAAGCCUAAGAAGCGACCCCAAACGGUACACGUACUCAACAUUUACUCAAAAUAUCAAUCCUAUAAAUAAUGAGAUCAAAUCCAUGGACAGUGAUAAUAUAUAAAAAUAUCCGAAUGUUCUUUUUAAUGAGAUAGAUAAAAAAUUGCCCAACAAAUGUGAAUUAUUAAUAAAAUAUUAAAAUUUUACUGAUUAAAUCUUAAUUGAAUUUACGUUAAUAUUAUCAUAAUAAUUACGGUUUUUUUUUCUUACCUUCUAUUUAAAAGGUGCGAAUACAUUUCUCUAUAUUUUUUUAAAAAAAAAUACAAUUAAAAUUACAGUGCAUGAAUAAUUUACGAGUUAAUUUACUUUUCAACUUUAUAAUGACCAAAAGCCUUCGUUGACCUUAAUAGAUACAAACGGUCUUAAUUCAAUCAACCAAAUCUUUGAGCUGCAAGAAGUUCAGAUUUUCAACUUGGAAUCUCCGUCGAUUUUCUCGACAACCAAACAACUUUAGAACAACCGCGAAUGAUCUCUCAUCCUACAAAAAAGAAAAAAGUUAAACGAGGCACCUCCCCAUUGAUGAAAAAUCAUAUCAAAUUCACAUUAGAAAUGUUCAGGUUCGGAUUGUCCACUCAAUUUCAAAGUUUUGUUUGAAAUAUAGAUGAGUUAGAACGAAAAUAUAAAAACCAAAAAAUAUAUUUAAAUAUAAAGAAUAAACCUAUUUAUAAUACGAGCUGAGCUUGCACUUCAACAAUUAAGCCUCAAGCUUGGCUUAACAUGUUUUAAUAUAAAAAUAUUAAAACAUUAAAUAAUGAAUUAAAAUUUAUUGAGAGGAGUUGGGUCUCGGACCCUCAACAAAGGGUAUUAUCCUGCUUGAGGGUUUUGUCUCCCUAUUCCGAAGAGAACUCAACCAGGCUCACGAAGUUAAAAUAGGUAAGAAAUAUAAGGCCUUAGUUGAUGGUUUGAUCUCCUGAAAGCACAAUUUCUAUAAUUAAAUUCUAAAAAUACUGACACUUCUCCAUUAAAUUUGUAGGUCGUGAGACAAUACCUUCCAUUAAGGGUCCAAGAGCUAACUCCCCUGACAAAUAUAAACAACAAAAAAAUAAAAGAAUAAAAGUUAUUAUUCAAGAAUCGAAAAUAGACGUUCACAUUAGGGUAAUAAACAGGCAGCAGCCCCGUCGGCAAUCGCUCUGGUCAUAAAUUUUUUUUAGAAACAAAAGUUCUGGGCUAAUUCAUCCAACUUCUCCAACUACCGUUUAAAAUUUAAAUUGGUCCCUAAAUUACAAGAUGUUUUGAACGGGUCCUUAAAAUAUUAAUAUUGUAUCAACGAUCUUUCCAUCAACAUAAUUAGUGAUCGUGGAAUGUACAUAAACAAAUAAAUCAAAUUAUAAACAUAUAUACAAUUACUUAUGGAAUAAACAACUCGAAUCUAACAUUUGAAAUAAGAUUGUAUUGUAUCAAUAAAAUUUAAGUUGACUGUUUCUUUUUUCUUCUAACAAAUUAAAUCCAUACGAUAAAUAUAUAUUGGGUUUAUAAUUUAAUCAAUAUCUUUCAUAUCAUAUUUAAGCUAGCACUUAAUCAAGGGCAAAUGGUAAUCGGAGCCAGCCGGGGUCCCAAAAAAAUGAAAAAUUAAUUAGGCCAUCGCAAUUAAAAAAAAAAACUCAUUAAGCUUUCAAUGUUUUUUUAAAAUUUUAAUUAAACCCUUUUAUUUGUUUUUGAAAUUUUAAUUAAACUUCUCUAAUUUUAAAAAAUAAAAUUAAUAGCCUCCUUUAAAAUUUAAUGUGAAGAUCCACCAUUGCACUUAAUGUCUAAGGUAAAAGAGAAACUAACACAAAGACCAAACUAAUACAACACUAAAUCUUUGAGGAUGUAAAGAGAAAUUAAUUGAAAGUAUAAUGGAAUUGUGUUGACAAGCCAAGUGAUAUGGCUUGUCUUUUCAAGUAAGGAAAAUUGGACCCACAAAUGGACAUGCAUGGAAUCAUGACGUGAUUGGCCAAGUAGGACCAUGACAAGGCCCCACUAGACGGCUUUUCUUGUCGGAUAUGCAUGGAUUUUGCCGAUAACUUUAACCAAAAAAAAAAAAAAAAAAGGGUCCCUUCCAUGGUAGUACCUACCUGGUUGGAGGUUAGUUUAUUGUGAGUUUUAACUGAUAUUUGUUAGUGUAAUAAAGCGCGUAGAAAACACGCCCACGUAGGACAGCUUUAACUUUUUGGCGGCGAGAGAUCAAAGAAUAUAUUCCGAUCGAUGAUGGACAGUGUGGUGCCUUAUUUUUCCAUCGAUAUGAUGUAUCUCUAUCCCAUCUAUUUUACGUACCAUAUACAAACACAUUUUAUCCCAUGCCUCCACCCCUUUUCCUUAAUGCAAAACUUAUUUUCCAAAAAACUGUUCUAAAAAAUAAAUGUUCGAAAUUUGAUAUUGUUGGUAAAGGUCGAAAUUUUAGAUUUUUUAGUAUUCAGGUUUGAAUCACAUCAAACGGAAUUUUUAUGUGUGAAUUUUUAGUUUCAUCAUGUCUAGUUGUCGUGAAUGAGUUUUAUCGGGUCAUAUGUUAAUUAGCUUUGUUUAUUUAUGUUUUAUAUUGGUUUGCUUCUAGCUACUUUGUAUUUUAGGGUGAAGCUAGAAAUUAUCUUUCGAAGGGCCAAAAUUAAGUUAUGUAUUUUUAUGAGAACUUUAUAAUUGUAGUACUAACAUAUAAUUUAAUAAAAUCUAAAGUAGCUCAUUUUAGGGGGCCUUGGUCAUUACCAGCCCUUCCUUAGUGUCGCCUAUAUUUGUAGUUGAUCAUAUAUGUAUUUGUAAUUGUACUAUAGUUGUGAUUAUAAUAUAUUUAUAUUUUUGAACUUUCAAAAAAAAAAAAAAGUUUCUCAAACUAUUGUCUAUAUUUUAACUUGGUCCAAACACUAACAUGAUCUAAUUGAGUCUUUACGCUUUUGGUAUCGUUUAUCAAUCAAGUCCUUUUGUAUGCCUAAUCAUUUCAAAUUUGACGCAAAGCAUUUUUGUAGCAUGUGUAUCAAAUUGUAAAUAAAUGUAUACCUAUUACAAGGACAAUUUGGGUUUAAAAUGUUUAAAAAGAAAAAGAAAUUAGCCUUUUUAAAUUUUAUUGACACUCAUUUUUUAGAACGUCAAAUCCGAGAUGUCGAUGAAGUACAUACGUGUUUUUUUUCCUAAUAUUAUAUCCAAAUUAUUAAUGUAAUAAAUUCACAUGCAGUCAUUUUAAUUAAGUACGUUUACAUUGACCCUGAAUUUACAUUUAGUGUCUGAAUUGAUAGUUAAAUUAACGAAACAACAUGAUUGUUACAUUAUCAAUACUUUUUGAAAAUUCAAUUAAUUUUAAAAUUUAUAAAUUAUUUAAAAUCUUAAUAAUAAUUUAGAAAUUUUUUGGUGAAAAUAAACUAUAAAAUGUUUAUAUAUGUAUAUAUGUUCAUGAAUUACAUAAUACUAAAACUAAAUACAUAUAAUUUUAUUUUAUGUAUUAUUAGUACACUAAAUAGAUUUUUUUUAAUAAUCUCAUUAUAGGUUUUGAUCAUAUCUUUUCUUUUUUACAUAAUACUUAGAACUACUCAUAGUCCCUCCCUAACCCAUAAGUAGGAGAAUAAUGCGCUUCAGCGUACUCAAACCCACAUACUCCUGCAUUGACAACAAUACUCAUACCAAUCCAAUUAAGACUCAAUCGACACAAUCUUUUAUAACAUCUUUUUGUGAUGUAGUACGAAUUUCGUAAUCAAGUUAUCGUGGGUCCUUAGUGUUUUUCAAAAUAAUUUAUACUUUAAACCUCUCUUUUUCUUUAUAAUAUAAAAAUUAAAACACUAUUAGAUUUGGAUGGCUCUAUAUGUGUGAAAGCAUGGGGAGGGAUCCAAUGCUAUUAAAUUAGUCAUUAAUUUGUUAAUAUAUGUUUAACAUUGUAAAGAUUCCACUAACAAGUGUGUGCUUCCUACUUGUUAGAGUUAUUACUUAAAUUAAAUUAUAUUUAUAAUAAGAAGAAGAAUAUUACUAUUUUGUAUUAAAUAAAAUUAUUAAUAAUUUUUUAUAAGAGGAGGAAAAAUGAGUUGUUUAGGGAUCAAACUCAAAAUCUGAUAUCAAAUAAAAUCAUUUUAAUGAAAGUCCUUCGUCACUAUACUAUGGGUUCAGUCUAACAAUAAUAUUUGUUUUCAAAUCUUCAAUUGAUAAAGAAGUCAGUUGAAUCAUAAGUGGAGUACAAAGACGAAUCUGAGGGAGGCAGGCAGGGGCACCUUGGUCCCCUAAAAUAAAAAAAAAUCAAUUUAAUUUUCUUAUAAAUUAAAAGGUAAUAAAAUUUCAUUUUAACCCCCUAAAAAUAAAAAGAAAAUCGUUUAGUCCUUUAAAAAUGAUAAAUUUGUAUUUAUAUUUUUUUAAAAAUUUAUAAUUAAGUUUCGGCAUCGGUUAAAAAUAUUUCUAGAUUUUUUCCUCGUAAAAUGAUAAGAAAAAUUAUAUUCAAAUUUUUAAUUAACAUCAAUUUCCAAUUUAAUCCGUUAUCAACUCCUAACCGUUGUAUAAAGAAAAUAAAAUUACAAAAAGGGAAACAAUAAAGUUAGGCAUUAUUGUUUUGAAAGAGAAAGGGCAAAGGCAAAGUGUAAACAAAAGCCUCUAAGAAGGCCCCAUGGUAAAAGGAAGAUGUUUUAUAAAUUAAAAAGCACUUUUUUUUGUACCAACCUUAGUGUUGUAUAUGGAGAUUUAAUUAAUUAAUGAUUGCUUUAAAGAAUGAGAGCUUUAUAUGCUUAAUCAUGGAUACUUCAACUAGAAAAUUUGGAGAAUAAAUCAAGCAAAGGAUUGUUUUCACAUCAUUCCGAUACAAAAAUAUCCAUGUUAAUUAAUAUUAUACUAAUAGUGGUUGAGGGUUCGAUCUUCACUUUAGGUAUGAAACAGUUUUAAAAUUCGUGGUCAGUAUCUAUCUUUUAAUGUACUUACAGAAUGCGGAGAAUUAGUUACUAGACUCACUUCGAUAGAUAUCUUGAAAAAUUAAAAAAUAUAUAUUAUACUAAUGUAUGAGAUUAAGUAAUCACCGACAUACCAUUUACUUAUCUUUGUUGACAUCAACCAUCGAAUUGUUGGUCUUUGGUUUAAUGAAUGAUCAUAUAGGUGAAUUCUUUUUUCACUUUUUAUUUAGAAGAGUGGUUUUUUAACAAAUCACAUUUUCGUUUUAAAAAAUAAGGAAGACUAUAAUAUGUUUUUGUUAUUUUUUAUUUUUCAAAAUUUUCAAUUAAGGACAUGCGAUAAAUUUUUAAUUUGUCAAAUUAAAAAUUUCCAUUGUCAAUAUAUCAAAUUUUUAUCUUUAAAAUAUUAUAUAUAAAAAUUUUAAGUAUAUUCAUAUCAUUUUAACUAUUUUUCUUCUUAUUUGCUUAAAAUAUUAUAUUAUAAUUUACACAAUGAAUUUAGUUGGCAUGAACCAUGACAGUAAGGACUUAGCACAGUUGAUAAAAUACGGAAGCGGACGUCCUAGGUCUUGAGUUCACAUGUUACAAAUUCACCAUGCACAAUUAUAUAUUUGGGUCUCCAAGUCUCAUCAUUUGUUGUCAACAUGUGUGAAUUUUAGUAUCAUUUCGUCUGCGCUACUUUGGAUCAUCCCAAUUUUUAGUAUGUUUGUACUAUACUAAUUUAUUCUACUUUAUGAUAUUUGUUUGAACAUAUAUUUAUAUUUAUACAUUAAUUAUACUUGCAAUAAUAAACGUCGAUAAUGGUAGUAGAACGACUGUAAAAUAAAUUUUAUAUGGAAAAACCUUUAAGAAAAAAUCACGAGCAGGGGAGGAGAAAUUCACUAAUGUUAAAAACGAAUGAUACAAGAGGAGUUUCAACUACAUCUAAAAUUUAAGGGUUGAAAAAUCCUGUUCUAAUCAAAGUCAAAUAGAAGAAAAACAAUUUGACACGAAUAUAACUUUUGUUGUAUAGUUUUUUGCUUAAUGGGGAUUCGGCGCUUCGUCUCCACAGAUCCCCUUACUUUUUUGUUAUAUUUGUUUCUUUAAUAGGUAACGGAAUUCGAGUCACACAAUCUCUAACAAAUACUGCACUUGUAACAUAAAUCAUUAAUAUAUAUAUUAAAAUACUUGAAAUAAAACCCUAAACGAUUCCAUUAGCAUCUAAAUUCCAAAAGAGCCAAUAAUUGUCCAACAUCUCUAGAUGAUAAAACCCUAAUCUUUUUCAUAACAGUUAAAAAAAACAUUUUUCUCAUAGACACAUGAUUUACAUUGCAACUUGUAAAGAAUACUUAUAGUAUUUUAUGGGAAUAUUUUUUUAGUCAAAAUACUUAGGUAUUAAGGUUCAAUAUAUAUAUAUAUAUAACACACGGGACGCACACGUUAAAGGCAAGAAGAAGAAGCUUGAAGUUCACAAAAGUUUGAAAUUGGAAGAUGUUUAGAUUCUGAUUUAUAUCAUUCACAAAAAAAGAUGGUCUCCCAUUACUCCCUAAAAGAAAAAUAAAGGCAAAGGCUGCCUUUGCCUUUGUCUUUUGCCUUUUGGGUAUUCAUAUCAAUAAUCUACUCAAAAAAUAACAUCAACACGAUAUGAACACAUGGGUAAAGUUAGUAUAUUAUUUUGGGCAAAAAAUGAAUAAUACAAUUUUGAGGUUAAAGUACAUUUGUAAUUACAUAAAUUUUGAAGGGACUAAAAUGAUAAUUUUACCAUGUUGAGGGCGAAGUCAUUGUCUCUAACUCUGCAUGAACAAAUUUGAAGUAAAAGUAUCAUAGAAGCUCCCGUAAUGUUAGAUUCCAUCCAUUUCUAUUGUUAAAAACCACUCUUGUAUGUCAGCAUAUGGUAUACGCCAAUUUUUAACAAUAGAAACUCAUUUAUCUAUUUUUUAAGAAGAAUAACAAAACACAUUUUAACUCUUAGUAUGAGAGCUUCCAUAAUAGUUACACGUACCACGUAAUUUAUAUUUCAAAAAUUACGAAUAUAAUUAUUAUUUAUGUGAACAUAGGGAACUAUAUGAAUAUUACUACAUGAAAUAUUGUGGGGGUGGAUCUUUCAAUCUUUUACUCAAAUAUGGAGGACUUUAAGGAUAUGUUGAUUUUGCUUUGGGAAAAAAAUACCCUUUGAUUCAAUUUUAUUUUACUUUUACUUUUUUUUUUCAUCCUAAUAUUAUAAUUAUAUAGAGAUUAUUGUGAUUCUUUCACAGUCCACAUAUACGAUCCUAUUUGGUGGACCAUUAGGGGUUGCUAGAUAGGUUAAGAUCAAAUGAUAUGUGGUGUAUGAUUAAAGGGCUUAAAAGACUUAAAAGGUCUUUUUAUUUAUUUAUUGAAAUGAUGAAAAGGCCAACUCUGGUAAGUCCACUUGAUUUAGAAUUUUUAAUCAUCAAGUACUAAUUUGUAAAAUUUAAAAAAUAGGAUUAGAUUAAAAUAUAUAUUUAUUUAAAAUAUGGGUCAGAUUUGAGUUUUAAUAUUCAAGACCCAGAAUUGAUCCGGCCUCUGUUGUUAUCUACUUCGUAAAUUUUUGUUUUAUUUUUAUAUAUUAUGUAAUUUAUAUCAAAUUAAAUUAAAUAUAUAAUACUAUAAUAUAUGUAGAUCUAAAAUUGGUUUGAGUUAAUCAUUUACAAAUAGGUACGAGUUUAUGCAAAAUUUGUGGCCUAUAUUUAGGGUCAAGUCGGGCUUGGACAUACAUAAAACAUAUCGAUAUCUUACGUAGACCUGUUCAAUGAGCAUAUCUACUUUUUAAUAUAUUUCAAUUUGAGAUUUAUUUUAUAUACUUUAAUUUGACAUAAUUCGAUUUAUUUACAUUUAUAAUGUCAUUGGGUAAUUCAUACAGUAUAAAAUCCUAAUGUAGAUUUUUUUCCCUAUAUGUUAGAUAGAGAAAUGAUACAAACUGGUUAAAUUAAAGGUAAACUACUAAAAUAAUCAUUUUUGUUUGUCUCAUGUUAUAUUUUCGUUACUUAUGUUUGAAAUGUAACGUUCAGGCACUUAUAUUAUUGUGUUGUAAUUUUUUAGUUCACUAAGCGUUAAUUGUCGUUAACGGUAUAAUGGCAAGCUGACAUGACACGUUAAAUCAUCGUUUCAAACGAAAAUUUAGGUUAAAUUAUAUGAUUGGUCCUUAUUUUUUUUGUUUUGAACUUUUUUUUUCCAUUCUCUUCGUCUUCUUCCUCUGUUUUCCUUCCUUCUCCAUUUUUUUAACAUAAUUUUUCCAUAUUUUCCAUUUGUUAAAACUAAUCCCUAUAUAUAUAUAUAUUCAAACAAUUUAAUUUUUUCUUUUCCCUCUUUAUUUUUAUCGUUUCUCAUAUUCUUCACUCUAGAAACAUAAUAUUUGCCCACCAAUAAACCAAGUCUUUGUUUCUUCCACAUGAUUCCUAAAUUGAACUUCACUGAAAACCAAAUAUCAAUCCUUCUUAAUCAGAUAUUGAUUUUUAUAUAACCUAAUUUUGAAACUAAAAUUGGAUCUAAUUAAUCAAUAUAAAAAAUCAUAUCAUUAAUCAAAUUUAAACAUAAAUUGAAUUCUUUAUAUUCAAAAUAAUUUUUUUCCAUUUUCAAAUUUUUAUAGAAUCGUGUAGAUUAUUCUUUUCCUUUUCUUUUAUUUUCUAAUGAAUAAAAUUAAGCAAACGAUAAAAUUGAUCUAAACCUUCUUGGAUAUUCCCAAGCAAGCUUGAUUAGAAGACGAGCAUGGAUAAACCGAAAAGAGAAAGGGAGCAUGGAACCAAACUGGUUUGGGUAAAGUUGAGGGUAAAUUUUCUAUGGUGGUUAUAUUAGUUAUUGAGAGUGUAGAAAUCGUUUGAAGAAUCUAUGAAACAAUAUAGUUUCGAGAGGGCGAAAAUGUUAUAGGAAAGAUAAAUAAGGUGGUCGUGGGGGUUCGUUAGGAGGUUAAGGGAACGGGCUCAAGAAACUUUGUUAAGGGUGGACUGCCAUAAGUCACGACUGGCGAGGUUUCGAGUGAUGCAAGCUUGUGGAAUAGGUCAUUGAGAGAUCCAAAUUGAUUCGUUAAAGCGAUGAUGGGCGAUGAAUGCUUGUAUGUAGGGUGAGAAUAUGCGAAAUAAGUUUUAUUUUGGUUUCAACUUUCGUUUUUUUUUUUCAUAAACAUAAAAAAGUUUUAACAAAUUAAAAACAUAGAAAAACUAUGUUAAAAGAGACGAAGAAUGGAGGAAAACAGUAGAAGCAUAAGAGAAUGGAAAAUAAAGAAAAAAAAUUUUAAAAAAAAACAUAAAAGAAAAAAAUUAAAUUGCUCAAAAUGAAAAAAUAUAAGGAUCAAUUGUAUAAUUCAACUUAAAAUUUUAAAUUUUAAAUGAUGAUUUAACGUGUCACGGCAAUUUACUGUUUUAUUAUUAAUGACAAUUAACAGUUCAAUAAUUAAAAUGUUACAACACGUUAACGUAAGUGAGUAAUGUAGCGACGUAAAAUUUUCGCUUUUGGUCGCUAAUUGAGGCGAUUUAUUGAAAAUUUAAAAACUGACUUUCGAUUUUAUUAAAAAGGGGAGUUGCCACCGAUCCUUUUUUCCUAGGUGUGAUCGGACACCUAAUAAAUCCUCUUUUUUUUUUUAAGAAAAUUUAUUUUUUAAACAAAAAGAAGGCCGAGUUUAGGUCUAUGUCAAAACCCAGAGAAAAAAUAGGGUUCGGGAGUCGGUUACGCACGAGGAAGGUAUUAGCACCCUCGCGACGCCCAAAAUUGGUAUCUCGUUAAACAUGUGUUGCCUUAAUUUUCGAAAAUGCGAGUUCAAUAUAACAUUUAAUCGUGAUCCGAUUAAAACACGAGAAAUUUCAAGUUUUUUGGUUUCUUUUGAGAAGGAUGUUCCGUUUUUAACACGAGCCGAUUAAUAUUCACCCAAUAUAGCGAUGAAAUCGACGACUUAAUGUUAAAUCGGUACGUUGCCUUAUUUGUUGAAAUUAAUUAAAAAGUACGAGUAAAACAUUAUUAUAAUAAGAAUUCGUAAAUAAUGCAAACAAUGAUGCAAUUAAUAAUAAAAAUAUUAAAAACUAAGAAUAUUAAAACAACAAUAACAAUAUUUACAAGAAAAUAAAAAUAAUGUACUAUUAAUAUAAUAAGAAAAAUAAUGUAUUUAUAACAAUAAUAGAAAAUAACAAUAUAUACAUAAAAAUAUAUAUAUACAUAUAUAUGUGUAUAUACAUAUUAAUAAUGAUGAAAAGAAUAAUAAUUAUACUAAUAAUAGUGGUAAUGGUAAUGAUCAAUGAGUAAUGAAGUAAGUAUAAGUAUGUACAAAAAGAUAUAUGUACACAUAAUAAUAUUAAAAUAAAAUAAUAAGCAACAAUAGUGAAAAUAAUAAGUAUAAUAAUAAAUAUAAUGAUAUAUAAAAAUAAUACUAUAUGUGAAAAGUAUAGAUAUAUAUACACAUAUAAUAAAAUAUAUACUAAUAUUAAUAAUAAAUAUAAUAGGGGUAAAAAUAGAUAUAAUAAAAACAUGUACAAAAUACGGUAUUAAAAUAUAUAUAAUAUAGUAUUUAAAAAAUAUAUACAUAGUAUAUAUACUAGGAAUAAUAAUAAUAGUAAAAUUAACCAUUAAUAAUGCUACAUAAAUAGAUAUAUAGUAAUAGUAUAUACAUAAUAUAGUUAUUAAAAAAUACAUACGUAAGAUAAUAUGAAAAAUAAAAAAUAUAUAAAUAAUAUAGUAUUAAAGAUAUACAUAACAUAUAUAAAAAUACUAUAUUAAAAAGAUAUAUGUACGUAAUAUAUAUAAAAAAUGUAUACAUAAUAUAGUAUUAAAAUAUUUACAUAGUAUAUACAUAUUAGAAAUAAUAAUAAUGUUAAAAAAAACAACUAUUAAUAAUAUUACAUAAAUAUAUACAUAUAUAUAUUAAAGAUAUAGGCAUAUAACAAAACACAUACUCAUAUUAAUAAUAAUAAUAAGGAUAAUAUAAAAAUAUACACAUGAAAUAGUAUAAAAAAACAUAUAACUAAUAAUACUAAAGAUAUAUACAUAUAUAUAUAUAUAAAAACAUAUACGAUACACAUAUAUAUUAGAAAUGAUAAUAAUGUUAAAAAACAACUAUUAAUAAUAUUACAUAAAUAUAUACAUAUAUAUUAAAAAUAAAUACAUAAUAAUAUUAAAAGUAUGUUCAUAAAAUACAUACAUAUGAUAUAGUUAUUGAAAAUAUGUACAUAAUAUAUAAUAUAUACAUAUUAGAAAUAAUAAUAAUAUUAAAAGCAACUAUUAAUAAUGCUAUAUAAAUAUAUACAUAUAAGUAUUAAGUAAAAAUAAUACUAAUGCUAAUAAAUAAUAAAUAUAAUAAUAGUAAUAAAAUAUAAUAGUAUACAUAAUAUUAAAAUUAAAAUAAAAUAAUGAGAAAAAGUGAAAAAAAAGGACAAAAUUGAAUUAAAAAUGAAGUUUUGGGGUGAAUUUCGAAAUAGAACAAAAGAAAGGGGCUUAUUUGAAUGCGCGCAAAACAUAGGGGGACCGAAACAGAAAUUAUUCCCUCCCAUCAAAACGCAGCACAUCAGCAGGGACUAAAUUGAACAUCACGACAAAUUUCAGGGCCAAAUUAAAAAUAAAAAAUGACUUAAUUUCAAAAUAAUAAAAAAGCGGAAGGGCUAAAAGCGAAUUAUCUCUUCCGUUAAAAAACACGCGAAUCCUAGGCGGGUCGGGUCGAGUCGAUCCGGUCCAAGUUAAAAUGAAGUAGUUUUGGAGUUUAAUGGCCAACCCCAAAACGACAUCGUUUUGGGGGCUAUAAAAGGCCCUUUUUCUUCAAAAAAAAUUCGUUUUGCAAAGUGAAAGAAAAAAAAGGGAGAGGGGAGGGGUUUCUGUCGCUCCGGUCGCUGUCGUCACCGUCAUCGUCAUCGCAGGCCACCGUCCACGGUGGCCGAAAAAGGUAAAACUUUUUUUAUGUAUUUAUUUUAGUUUAAUAAUAUUAUAUAUAUGUAUGUAGAAAAGAAAAGAAAAGAAAAAAGAAAAAAAAAACAGAUUUGAAAUUUUUAAAAAAAAUAGCACCUUUUGAUUUCUGAUUUUGAUUUCCUGCGAUUGUUGAUAUUUUUUUCUCUGUUCUUGGUGUUGGAUCUGUUCUUGAAUACUGGUGGCUGAAAUCUAAUGUUUGUUUUUUAUUAAAAAUUGCCAAUCCUUCUACCAAAUUUUAUUCGGGUUUUUAUAACCCUUUUUACAUGUAUUCUUCUAUUGUUUCUGUCUUUUCUUUCUAAUGCAAGUUGCUGGAGCAGGUGGCGAUGGGUGGUGGCAAAGGCGUCAGAAGAGUUGGUGGUGGCAGAGACUAAGAGCGGCGGCUAAGGGGCUAGGGUUUAGUUGAGAAGAGUUUAGGUUGUGGGCUAGGAUUUUUUUUUUAAUUUUGGGUUUGGGUAGUUGGGUUUAGGUUAUUUAUUUGGGCUUCUGUUGGGUUUUAAUAUAAAUAGGCUUAAGUGGGUCUGAUGGGUUAAGGGUUUUGGGUUGAUUUGAUUCAAUUUAAGUUUCGGGUUUAGUGGAUCAAAAUUGACCUGUAACAAGUAAAAUAUAACAUUUCAAAUAUAACUGACUAAAAUGUAACCUGAAGUAAACAAAAAUAACUAUUUUGAUAAUUACCGUUAAAUUAACUAGAAAACCGAUUAAACUCACGAUUGAACAGAUUUUCAAAAUUAAUUCUAAACAAUCCAACUCUAAAAACAAUGCAUAUAUUUUGUUAAAAAAAAAUUGUUUUUAUUUGAUGGGCUUCAUACCUAAGUCCAUCAAAAUGGAUGAACGAGUUCUUAACCUCUUUUAAUUAAGCAUUUUCAGUAAAUUGAAGCAAUUAAAGCAUAAGACCAAAACUUUGUAAACUAAAGGAUUAAUGGAAAAGCAAAUAUGAAUUAUUUAUUUCCCAUGGACAAAAUUUAACUUUAACUAAUGAAGCUUUCCAACGCCUAAAAACCCACCAUGAAAACUACUCUUAAAAUUUUAUACAAGGCCUCAAUAGGUUCACCAACUCAAAGAAAACUCACAUGUCAGCAGAGAUAGUAAUGAAGGAAACGACCACGGUGAUGUCAUCAAGCUUGCCGCCAUUAUAGCGAUACCCGGCAUCUUGAGCGGCUUUGGCAAAGGGUGUCUGCUUGUUCUUAUCCACUGCUCGUUCACGAGCCAAAGCUACUAUCUCUUUAGCAGUCGAUUCAGGACUGAAGCCAGCUCUUAAAGCGUGGACAACAACAGCAGCAACCUCGUUAUUGUAUAGAUUAUCAAACAGCCCGUCAGUUCCGGCGACAAUGACAUCACCUGGCAGAAUGGGAAUUCGGAAAACCUGGAUAUGUAAUUCCGAAACAAUAGUUAGGUUAAGGAUAUUGAGUUGCAAUUAGAGUCAAGAAAGAAAAAUGAAGUUUAUAUUGUUUCAACUUAGUCCUUGUAUUAUAGAGUCAGGAUCAACUUAGUCCCUCUAUUAUUCAAUGGAUCAACUUAAUCUCUAUACAAUUAAAUAGAAUCAAAUAAGUCCAAAUUAUAACUGAAUUAACAUUUACCGUGCAAAAAUUGUCUUGAAAAUUAUUUUUUUCUAUUGCAAUUCAAUUACAAACAAAAAAUCUCAUUUACAAAAUCAUAAAAACAUUUAAAAAAUUAAUUCUGUUAAAUAGUAAAUGAUAUUUUUUAAACUAAAAAGUUUAAAUCUUUUCCAACUUGGCCUUAUUUGAUUUUUUUUAAUAGUACAGAGGCUAAAUUGAUCCAUUUAAUAGUAGAGGGACAAAUUUGAUCUGGUCCCUAUAUAUAGGGACCUCUCAAGUACAUUUUCCCAUAAUAAAACAUGUUUUGAUUAUAACUCUGAGCACCAAGCCAUUUAAGAAAUGCAGCCAAAUGAGGUCCAAUGGUCAAUUUUUAUCGAUCUUUAGUGCGUGUGGGUAUAUAUAUGUAUGCAUGCAUGCAUUUAUGUGUGUGUGCCCAAUGGUCAACUUUUAUCGAUCUUUGUAUGCAUGCAUGUAUUUAUGUGUGUGUCCAAUGGUCAAUUUUUAUCGAUCUUUAGUUCACUAUGCAAGCAUGCAUUUGUUAAGACAAUGCCAUUUCUACUAUAUUCAAAGAUAUUGCCUUAAACACGGUGAACAAAGAAAGGAAAACCACUAUAACAGAUUCCUUGUAUUAGGGCGGAGUAACUGAGUCAUCGACUAACCUGACCAGAGCUCGGUAGAUCACCAUUAUUACCGCUCUCCAACUGAUAAGUAAAAUUGAAACCGUGUUGCUGCACUGGGGAAUGGAAAACAGUUGAACCAUCUCUAACAACUAUGAAACCGCUGUCCCCCAAAUUUAUUGCAUGUAGUCCCUGUCAAGAUAGUAAGUACAUGAAUCGGCAUGAAUGUAACCAAACUCUACAUGAAUCGGCAUGAAUGUAACCAAACUCAGGCAACCCGAGUUAUAUGCCAAAAUUCACUAACAAUCAAACUCGAUGAGACUAGCCUUUGAAAGUGAAAACAAACCUCCUUGUGAAGGGCAAUGACGCACGCAGUUGAGGAUCCUUGUGAUUUUGUGCUUGAAUGGGCCUUCUCUAAUACUCUGGCCGGGUCGACUGAACCUUUGGGUUCAUCUCGAAUUGCUUUCACCGAAUUAGACAUAAGUUCACGAGCAAAUUCACCAGCAUCAAUACCGACUUCAGCCCAGCCACCUACACCAUCGGCUACUCCUAUGGCUUGUUCAUCAGCACAAAUGAAGUGCGCAUCCUCCCCUCCCUUUUCUACCUUAGCGGGAUGGGGGAGAUAACAUGACCCAGAAACAAGUGUCAAUGUUUGCUCACUCGGAAUAGCUCUGAAAUCAACACCAAAUAACCAAAAUGUGGAAACUGAGUACAAGCAUAGAUAGCCAGUGUCGGAAAUGUUUAAAGCAUAUAGUAGGGUAAAUACAAGAUGAGGACAUACCGUUGAGGCAAACUUGUGGUUUGAUCAUCACUAGAACUGCCAUCAAAUGACACAUCGUGGACGGCCCUAGAAGAGGAACAUGGCAAAGGCGAAGUGCGAAUACUUUUAAUCCUUGGACCAAAAGGCGGAUUAUAUUUGGAAUUUCUCGACAUUGUAGGAGAAACAUAGUGUCCACAAACAAAGAGGGGUUGUUCUUGCUUUCUCAAAACCAUACCAGCUUUUCGGCAACUGAUAUGGCUUCGAUCAGCAAAAUAAACCCCUUUAGGUUUCAAAAACUCAAAGCCAUUCCCGCAACUCGACACUAACUCGUCCACAUAAACAUCUCCGAAAACAACCUUGGAACCAGACACGGCCAUAGUUUUUGCCCUGUUACAAAGAUGGAUUAGAAUAAAACCUAGUAUCGGAUAUCUAAUUACUCGGAAUAAGGAAAAAAGACUAACACAACAACCCUUAAAUUCCAAAACAACAACAAUUACUGUCUUGUUGAGGGUCGGUCGGCUCCUUUGGAAGAAGUUUUUGAAGUGUCGUCCGCUGAGCAACCGACCCGACUCCCAACAACCGAAGGUAUUGUUCCCGACGAGAGUUUUGUCUCUCGUGCUCUGCCACAAACCAGCUUGCCAUGAGCGACUACCUUGAGAGCUUGGUUCACAGGGCCAAGGCCACCUCGACCAUACCUAGGUGUAUGGCCACCCACCCACCAAGGGCAAGACGCUCAUGGUCGUACACUCAUGUACAGUCAAGGCACCCCCCUCUGCAGCCGCUCAAGACACACUAGCUUCCGCAGAAGCUGGGGACAAAAUCCUCUCCCGAGGACAAUACCUUCGGUUGUCAGUGAUCCAGUCGGCUGGCUGGCGGACGACACAUAGGAGCCGACUGAACCUCAACAUGUCUAAAUAGUGAAAUCAGUUUAAUUACACAACUGGUUCCUGCAAUUGUCCUUCAAAGACUAAUACAUAACAUAUCUACAAUUAACACUAAUUCUACUCCAAUGAAGCUUAUUUCUUUCAAGUUUCAACACAUAGAACCCUCAAAAACUAGAAAUUUCACCAUUUAUGGAUGAUAAAAAUGCAGAUAUUUUUUUACUUCUAAUAUCCAGUAAUUACAUUUCAAUGUAUGGUCCCUAAUAAAAAGAAAACAAAACAAUGCAUAGCUUAAGUGUAAUGAUCCUAUUUCAAAGCUUAAAGCUUUCUGCAGAACAAUAUGAAAACAAAAUAUGGGUAAUUGUAAAUAAAAUUCACAACAAUUGAAACCUUUCGCAAAUACCCAACAACCCAAAUGCGAAAAAGGAUUGAAAAAGAGUAAAAUUGAACCUGUUCAAGUAGCUUUGUACCGUUUAAUCUGCUAAUAUUCGAUGCCAGAGGAACCUUAGGUAAAAGCUAUUAUCGAAUCAGUAAAAAAAUCCUAAAGCGAAAACAAACAAUCGAGGGUGAAAGAAAAGAGAAAAGAUCUGAAAGCUAAAUUGGGUCUUUUUGACGGAUUGACGAUCCGACAGAUGACCCGAAUCCGACUCGAAUAUCUCCGUAGCUUCUUCUCUCCCUCUUUUCCCUCCCCCUCUUUGGCUUUAGUUACAAAGAGAGGGGAUAAUGAAGGUGAUAUAGUCUUUUUUAUAUCGGUCUAAUUCUAGUUUUGGUCCUUUUAUUAUGUUGGAAUUUGAAAUUUAGUCAUUUGAGGGGUCAAUAAAUUUUUGAGGGGUCGGAAUUAGUUGUAUGUUUUUAUGAGAGUUAAAAUAUAAAUUCACUAUUUUAAGAGUUGUUACCUUUAUAAUUUUUUAAAUGACUAAAUGAAAGUUUUAUCAUUUUGGGAGCUAAAGUGUAAUUUUAUCAUGUACUAAUUAAAAAUUUUAUGAAAUUUAAAGGACCAAACUAAAAUUUUCAUUUUAGGGGUCAAAACCAUAAUUUGACCUUUGGAUAUCAACUCCCAUUUAUUGUUUGUGAUAAAAAAAUUUAUUUAGUUUUUGAGAACUUUUUGAAUUUAAUCCUUAAACUUGGAUUCCGUUAAGGCAUGAUAACAUUGCAUUAAGAGAUUGUGUCAGAUGAUCAUACCUUAUCGAAAUUCAUGUUUAGGAACCAAAACGAAAAAAAAAUCUAUCAAGUUUAAAGGCUAAUGUAGACAAAAAAAGAGGAACCAAAGUGAAUUUUUUUAUCAAAUGUAAGGACUAAAAAUUAAUUUAUCCCAAUUAUUUGUGACCGAAAUAACCCUCAAAUUUGCCAUUCGAGCAUCAAAUAUAUACCCUUUUCAAGGUUCCUAUUCUUUGUUCAAUAUUAAAUGUGCACCAAUGCAUUCAUGUUGGUGACAAUAUCAAAGGAUAUUUUUGUGAAAAAAAUCAAUAAAAAUAAAAAUAAAAUCUAGACAAAAAUAUGACAAAAUUUAUCAACUUUUUUGUCCAUGUUCUUUUUGUGACCAAACAUAAAAAGAACACUUAAAAAAUAUUAUAUUAAAAAAAAAGACAAAAUCAAGGGUGUGGUUAGUGAAAAUUUUAAGAAUAUAUAAAAUAAAAAUUUUGUUGGUUCGAUGUAUUAUUGUCAAUGGAGGAGGAUCAGGGUUCGAGUGUGCUAAAAUAUAUUAUUGUCCUAUUUACAAGUUGGGGAAAGAUUAUGAAUAAUUACAGACAUUAUAUAAAAAAAUAGAUAUAAUUAAAAAUUGUAUUAAAAUUGUUAAAAAUAUAUAUAUUAAAAAAAAAGACAAAAUCAAGGGUGUGGUUGGUGUAAAUUUCGAGGGUAUAUAAAAUGGAAAUUUUGUUGAUAUAGAAAUGUACAAAAAUAUUAAGCUAGGAUUAAAGAUUACCACAAAAAAACAAAGGAAAAAUAAAAAUAAAAAUAAAAGAGAGAAGCUUAAAAUUCUUAUCCAUUCUUAUCUAUUUUAUGCUUCCUAGAAAUAAAAUCAAUUAUGGGCCAUAUAUCUAUAAUCUACAAAUGUACAAAAUUAUUCCAUCUUGAAUUUUUUUUUUCGGGUAAGGUUGAAUUCGAUUCGAUUUUCGAUUUUUUUCAUUUUAGAUUCUGGGUUUUUGUCUUUUAUUUUAACAAAAACAAGUUAUGUUUUAUUAUUUUUUGAUAUUAUUUAGUGAAAUUUCGAAUUUUUAAUAAAUGUUUUUAAAAAAUCAAGUGAAUAAAAAUAAUUAAUAAUUCUCAUAUAAUAUUUUUAAAAUUAGUUUUUUUGUAAAUUAUAAUAAUAAGGUAAAACUCGAACAAUUAACACAAUUAGAAUGACUCAAAUUUAAGUCACACAUGAAAUAAUAAACACUCUUAAUCAUCAAGUCAUCACAGAAGUUAUUUGAUAAUACAUAGUAAGUGGGAAUCUUUGAAAUCCAAAACCCAAUGCUUUUGCCUAAAAACAACCCAUUAUUGUUUAAGAUCAUUUCAAUGUCUUUAUAUCUCCAAAUUGGGUUUUUUUUGGGCCCUUUGAUGGAUCCCAAGUGGGCCUUUUCCAUUUAUUAUCAUGAAAGUUAGGUAAAGAAAUUAUAGUAUUUGGUAGGCCUUUUUAAGAUUUUUUUAGUGUACUAAGUUUGGUAGGUACUUCAAGUUCGUACAAUUUAGGUUCUACAUUGGACAUGUUAAUCAUCACGGGAGAUUCAAGUAACUCAUUUUUCAUCAAUUGAGUAUUAUCUCGAUUAGAAUGGGUAUUGUUGUCAAUACAAGAGGAUGUGGGUUCGUGUAAUGGCCCAAAUUUGAGGUUAUCGGAACAGUGGUUUCGGAACCACAAAUCCGAUGAGAAAAAUUUUAUUUUUCUUAUAUUUUUAUGGUCUACAAUUUCACAAAAUGAUUUUUUGAAAAUUUCGUUCAAAAAUUUCGACGUUUGGGCACUCAAUUUAGUCAAAAAGACUAAAUUGUAAAAAGUGCAAAAGUUGAGUUCUACAUGUUAGAGGUGUCCAAUUGUUAUGAAACUUUAAAUUGGAGGUCCUUAUAUGGUAAUUAUACCAUUGGUAACUUGGUAGACAAAAAUGGACAUGAGAUAAGUGAAAUAGAAAAUUUUUAAGUUAGGGGCAAUUUGGUAAUCUAGUAAUUAAAAUGAAUUAAAAGGGAAAAAGAUGGCAAAAAUCAUCAUCUUCUUCAUAUGAACGAAAUCAGCAAGGGGGGAAGCCAUAGUUAGGGUUUUCAAGCUUCCAAGCUCCAUAGUAAGUGAUCCCAAGCCCCGUUUUUAAUGUUCUUUACGUUUUUGAGAUCCCGGUAGCUUAAUUUAGCUUAUUCUAGCAAUAAUUUAACCUAGGGUUUAUAUUUGGAAAAAUACCCAUAGGUGAAAAGUGUUUAUUUUGAUGUUUUAUGAUAGAAUAUGAAGCUAGAAAUUAUGUUAAACAACUUUUGCUAAGCGAUUUUAAGUGAAAACGAGUAAAACGACAUAAUCGGUAAAAAUACCUAAUGUUCAUAAGUACAUGUUAGAGUGGGAAUUUGAUGUUGCCAUAGAAGGGAAAAAUGUUCAGAAUGUUAUAAAACAUAAGAAUAAGAGAUGAAGUUUAAUUUCCGAGCCUUGGGGCAAAAAUGUAAUUAUGUAAAAGUUUAGGGGCAAAAUUGUAAUUUUGAAAAAGUUAGAGUCGAGGGCUUUUUUGAUGAAUGUGAUUAUUAAAUAAGUUAAAUUUACUAUUUUAGAUCAAGAAGUACGAAACUCGAGGUUAGACAAAGGGAAGAAUAAAGUUGAAGACUAAGUUGGUGAAUUUGGCUAUAAUUGGUUCCGAGGUAAGUUUACGGUAAAUAAAUGCAAUAUUUCAAUAUUUAUUAUUAAUGCUGUUAAUUUACAGCAAUUAUGAAUUUAUUUUAUGAAUUUAUUUGAUGAUGAUCCAAGCAUGAAAUGAUAGAGAAUUAAAAUUUAAAAGUCCCGUUGAUACAUAAGGAUGGUACUGGAUACGAAUGUCAUGACAUUUGGGUAAAGAGGUCCCAUGUAAGACCAUGUCUGGGACAUGGCAUUGGCACCGAGAUGAGAGGUCCCAUGUAAGACCAUGUCUGGGACAUGGCGUUGGCACCGAGAUGAGAGGUCCCCUAUAAGACCAUGUCUGGGACAUGGCAUGGGCACCAACACGAGAACAUCCCAUGUAAGACCAUGUCUGGGACAUGGCUUUGGCAUGUUAUUAUCAAAAGAGACCCGAGUAUCCUUAUUAUUCCAAUGUAGCUCAACGGGCUUGUAAACGAAUCAUGUUCAUGAAAGUUCAGUUUAAAGCAUAAAUGGCAAGCUCAGGUAAGUUGUAAGACUUAAGAACUUAUUAUACUAUCAAUUGAUGUUCAACGAUACAGCAAGGAUUGAGUAAGUUAUGCACACAAGUAUUCUAAGUAAACAAGUAAGAGAACUAGUAUGAGAUUAACUAAAGAGUAAACUAGAGAUAUAGACAUUGAGUUUAAUUAUUUAAGUUAAAUAUUGUUAUUUAUUUGCUAGUAAACUUACUAAGCUUUAUGCUUACUUCUUUUAUUUCUCUUUCUCUUAUAGUAUUGCAAAGCUACUUCAAGGAUCCUAAAGAAGUCGGAGAUCGUCCACACUAUCAACUACAACUGCUCGGUAUUUUAUAUCGAAACACGUUUGAGUUAUGGCAUGUAUAGGGAUUUAGUUAUUUUGUAUGUUUGUAAUGAUGAUUUUGCUAAUGAGUGAUGUGUAAGUAUUUGAUGAUGUAUGGUUAUUAAAAUGAUUAAGGAUGAAGGUGUUUGUUGUUAUGAAAGAUUAGGUGAUAAAUUAUGCAUGGAAAUCAUGAAAGGAUAAAAUUUUGCAAAGAAACAGAAUUCAGGCAGCACAGUGACGUGAAUUUGAAAAAUCACCCAAGAUAGUAUAAAAUGAAUUAGAGGGUGAAUGAUAUAUGGAAUUAAAGCUUGUUGAGUCUAUUUUCAUGGAAAAAUAACGGUGUAGAAAAAGGAAAUUUAUAUUUUAAGAUAUGUGAAUUUUAGUAAGAUAGGGUCAGAACUGUUUUUGGAGUCCCCUGUUCUGAGUUUAGAAAAUAAUUACAAAUUGUACAAAAAUGGUUAUGAGUUGAAAUUUACAUGCUUAGAUUUCUUAAUGAGUCUAUUUUCUGUAGAAAUAAGUAAGAACUUCACAUGAAAAUCCUACAGUGAGAAAACUUAUUUUUAGUGACUAGAGGUCAGGGCAGUCAGGUGGUGAAACAGGGGAGACUUUAACUAAUAAACUGUACUAAUUUGCUGAACCAAAAAUUCUAAAAAUUUUAUGGUGAGUAGAUAUAUGAGUCUAGUUUCAGGGAAAAUUUACGGAAUUAAAUUUCGAGUUCUUUAGCUCAAGUUAUAAUUAAUUUAGUAACUGCUGCGCGAUUGGACAGAUUUGCUGCGAAUAAUGAAAUAAAUUUUCAAACCUAGUUUUUAUGCUCCGAAUUGGUAAGAUAAGCUAAGUAAUGCCUCGUGCUCGACUCCGGAAACGGUCUCGGGUAAGGGGUGUUACAGUUCGAGUGCAUUGAAGUGCAUUAUCCUCCUAUGUAUGGGUUGAGGAGGGGGUGACAAGUAGUUCUAGGCAUUGUAUAAAAAAAAGAUAUAAUCAGAACCUAUAAUGAGAGUCUUCCCACCCCUUUUCUGUGUUAAUCUCUCUUUGAUUUGUAUAGCUAGACCUUUUUUCUCUGAAAGAGAGAUUAUUAUCAAGUUCCCUAUUUUCUUCUAAAUUAGACAUUGGUUUGUUGGUUCUACGAAAACUCUUAUCUUGAGGCUCAAUUCCAACGGAUUGAUUCACUACUUCCCCUACACUAAAAAUUUCCUUUAAUAUUGGGGUAGGAGGUUCUCUAAGGUUGGACUGGUUUGUUAUAGAAAAAAGACUAAUAGUAAGUGUGGUGGAUGUUUUUAGUUAGACAUAAUCACGAGUCGGGUCACAUGAUCAAGGCUUGAAGGUCGCUCUAAAAAUGGAAGAGUUUGAGCAAAAAUAAAGGCCCGAAAAAUGGGCUUGGAUAAAAAAAUAAGUUUCAUUUUUUAAACGAACUGGGCCUCGGUAGGAUUUUUUUGGUCUGGGCACGGCCUGAAUGAGCCUAAACUUUUUUUGUUGCCAUUUCGCUAUUAUAUUGCUACUAUUUAUUGUUAUUAUUUGGAUAUUGUAUAACGGUUAUUUUAUUGUUAAUUUUGUUACUAUUUUAGAGGGAUUUGUUUACUAAGUUGCAAAUAUCUUAGUAUUAUUUAAGUAUAAAGAAUUUUUUAAUGUUUUUUUUAAUUUAUUGAGAAACAUUUAUCUUAAUAUUUUUAGUGUAUUUGACGUAUUAUAUUUUUUAAAAUUUGUUUUAUAUAAAAAAUUAAUCUAAAAAAAAUUAAUACAGAUUGGUCGGGCUCGAGUUUAGCACUUUUAAUCUAGGUCGGGCUUUGACAGUUUUAAGCCCAUUUUUCAGGUCAAGCUCUGGCCUAAAAAAUAAUCCUAAAAUUUUACAUCGUCCCGACUCGACUUAUGAUCAGGUCUAGUUCUAAUUUUCUUUGAAGAGUUUUUAAUUUCUCUUAUAUCUUUUUAGACACAUUUAUAUCGACCUGACCCGACUCAUGAUUUGGUCUAAUUGAUUCUAUCUCUUUUAAUUUUAUUAUGUUGAAAUAAAUCAAUUUUUUAUAGUUCACAACUUGGGAUUUGUUGAAUUAAAUCCUUUUUAAUUUUUAAUCACGUUCAAAUAAACGAAUAAAUUUUACUUUUUUUUAUAGCUAAAUAGACACUUAGCAUGAAUUAAUUUUUAUUUAAAAUAGGAUUUUAAUAUAUAAAAUUAUAAGUUAAUAAAAUCAUAAAAUUAUAUUUUAACUCUUAUAAUAACAUGUAACUUAAUUCUUAUCUACACUCUUAAAAAAUUUUGACUUCACCUUUACUUUCACAUGUAGUUUUUAGCAUUCGUUAUUUAGUCGUGUGACUAAUAGUGGUGUCCCCGUGCCCUUUAAGAACGGGAGACAAAAUUCUGAAUCUAAAAUCAAAUAUAGACACCUUAAAAUACGAAACAAAAUUAAAUAAAUAAGUUCUGAGAAAUAAAAUUAAGACAAAACCCCACAAGGUGGUUAUGAAAAAUAAAUAAAACUAACCGGCAACAAUCACAUAAGCUCAGUUCUAGCGGUUCAUACCACGUGCCGACAAACAAUUGGCAGAAAGCAGUGAAAUAAACCAAUCAUCUAAACAAAAGUAGUUUGACUUUACAAGAAAUAAAGUAACACCGAUGACAGCUUCUUUGAUCUUGUUCGAAUCCAGUUCGGAUCCGACCACUUCACUACACGACAAAACACCUCUUCCUCACAAUUCCUUAACAGUAAGCAGUAAAAAAGUUAAAAUAUGCUGUUAGUCCCUAUAAUUUAAUAAUAUUUGAUAUUUAAUCCUUAUACUUUAAAUUUUUUUAUUUAAAAAUCUAUGUCUAGUUGUUAAAAAUAGUGAGUAUUUUAUAUUAUGUUUUAUCAAUUUGGAAUUUUAAUUAUGCUGUCAUCGUAUGACACGAUAGAAUAUAAAGAUGUUAAGUUGAUAAAUUUUAAUAAAAAUUAUCAAUAACGAUAAUAAGUUGGUUAAAAUUUUUAAAUGGUUAAAAUUCGUUUCAAGUCAUUAUAUUCUUUAAUUAUUUAGAAUUUAAUCCUUUUACUUUUCAAAUAUGAAAAUACAUUGAAUUCUUCUUGUUACAUAGCUAUCAAAGUGAGUAUUAGUGAAUCUAACAGAAAAAAUUUAAUAAAAUUAACUAUUAAAUCAAAAUUUUAAAAUCUUAAAUUAAAUUCUAAAUUUAUGAGGAAUAAAAAGGAUGUAAAAUCGAAGUACAGGGACUAACUGCUAAAAAAUUGCUGAAACCCCACUUAAAAUUAAUAUUUAAAUAUGAAUAAAUAAUUCAUAUAUCUUUUUGAAAAGUAAACCAGCUACGGCAAUUGAAGAACUUUAGAACACAAUAUUUUUUGCUCUAAAACUUUCACACGAAGUUCUGUAUUUCAUUUUUUGUGUGUUCUUUUUUAGCCUUGUUAAUAUAUAUAUAUAUUAACUUAUCCAUAUAUAAUCCUGGGUUUUCUUUCCUGUGUUUUAAUUGUUUAUUAUUUGCUCAUCUUUGACCGUUGGAUCAUUCAGUUUGCUGGGGAGGGUUCUUUGAUUCGAUUUGGUUACUUGGUAUUUAAUUGAUCUUUUUGGGGUUUUGGAUUCAACUUCAAAGUUUAAACGUUUUUUUUUCUGGGAAACGUAAGAAGUUGAUCGUUCAGUGUUUGGGUUUAAUCAUUGAGCUUCUGUUUGGGUACUGUGAAAAUUUUUGGUCAAAGCACAGAGCUGGUAGAUGGCCUCAAGAUUUUAUAUAUAUAUAAAGCUGAUUGACUGGUAGAUAAACGGAGCUUUACAAAGGGGAAAAAAGAACCUUUUUUUGGGGGUUCUAGUAAUUUGAUUUUUUUAAAGCUAUGCCGGUUGAGGUUGACAAUUCCUCCACCGUCUCCGGCGAGGCCAGCGUCUCUUCCACCGGUAACCAAAACCCACCUCCCAAAUCCACCGUUAAGAAGAAACGUAACCUCCCUGGAAUGCCAGGUACUGUAAAAAAAUUUAAUUAUCCAAUAAUCAAAUCAGCCUUCAUUUUGGUACUUUAUUUUGUUAUGUAUUUUAUUUUAUUUAUACAGAUCCAGAUGCAGAGGUGAUUGCUUUAUCACCUACGACUUUGUUAGCUACGAACCGAUUCGUGUGUGAAAUUUGUAACAAAGGGUUUCAAAGGGACCAAAAUCUUCAGCUUCAUAGACGAGGUCAUAAUCUGCCAUGGAAGCUGAGGCAAAGAUCGAGCAAGGAAGUGAAGAUGAAGGUUUAUGUUUGUCCUGAACCGACGUGUGUUCAUCAUGACCCUUCGAGAGCUUUAGGUGAUCUCACGGGGAUUAAGAAGCAUUUCUGUAGAAAACAUGGUGAAAAGAAAUGGAAAUGUGAUAAAUGUUCUAAGAAGUACGCUGUUCAAUCGGAUUGGAAAGCUCACUCUAAGAUCUGUGGCACUCGAGAGUAUAAAUGUGAUUGUGGAACUGUGUUUUCCAGGUGUUCGACUCAAUUCCUAGGUGAAAAAUAUGGGUUAUUUUUUCUGGAAUUUGAUUGUUGAUUUUGGGGUUCUUUUUGUUUAUUUUUGUAGGAGGGACAGUUUUAUUACCCGCAGAGCUUUUUGUGAUGCGUUAGCAGUGGAGAGUGCUAAAACUCAAACGAAUCCCAGUUCGGAACCCGAUCCAAAAGUUCAGGCGGCGGAUUCAUUGCCACCGCCUGCAUCUCCGCCAGUGUCUGCUCCGAGUGCAGUAACUUCUUCAGAUAUGCCGAUUCAAAGUUCUGGUAAAACACAUAAUUAGAGAAUUUUGUAUCUUGUUAGUUUCGGUUUUGCCCUUUUGAUGUAGUUUGAAUUGAAACAAAGACAAAUUUUAUUUAUUUAUUUUGUUGUUAUUAUGUCUUUGGAUGAAUCUUUGGAGUUUAGUAGUUUUUGUCUGUUAUUGGUCUUUUGUCGAUUUCAUGUUUAAGACUUUAAAAUCACUGUAUAUAUGUCUUAUAUAUGGGUUCUUGUUGUAGUGUUGGCUGAAGAUCCAAAUAUUGUCGUGGAAAAAGCUCCAGCACCAGCACCGGCACUGGCACCGGCUCCACCUCCGGCUAGCUUAAAUGGAAGUUGUAGCACUAGUGUCAGCUUGAUUAGCAGUGGUUGUAGCAGCAGCAGCGGUGUAUUUUCGAGCUUAUUUACCUCCUCGACUGUAUCUGCAAGCAUUCGACCUCCUCAACCUCCGGCACCAGCUCCACCAUCGGCUGGCUUAAAUGGAAGUUGUAGCCGUAGCAUCAGCCUGGUUAGCAGUGGUGCUAGCAAUAGCAGCAGCAGUGGUGUAUUUGCAAGCUUAUUUGCCUCCUCAACUGUUUCUGCAAGCAUACAACCUCCUCAACCUCCUGCUUUAACCAAUUUAAUUCGAGCUGACCUUGCUCCAUCUACAUCAAUUGAACCAAUUUCUCUAUGCCUCUCGACCAGCCAUGGCUCAUCAAUAUUCGGGACUGCAGGGCAAGAGCAUCGGCACCAUGCACCUUCGCUGCAACCUGCUAUGUCAGCCACUGCACUACUUCAGAAAGCUGCUCAGAUGGGAGCAGCAGCAAGUAAUGCAUCCUUGCUUCGUGGUCUCGGUAUUGUUUCGUCAUCAGCACCACAAGAAAAUUUACAAUGGGGUCAGGCACAAGUGGACCCUGACAAUGCCUCCAUUGCAGCAGGGGUUGGACUCGGGCUUCCCUGUGAUGGAAGGCAGGAUUAAAGGAACUGAUGAUGGGAACCCCAGUGUUCGGUCCUAAGCAAACUACUCUCGAUUUCCUUGGAUUGGGGGUAGCUGCCGGUGGCAACCCCAAUGCCAGCCUGUCAGCUCUAAUUACCCCUAUCGGAGGAGGAUUUGAUGCUGCCACGGCGGCAGCAUCGUUUCGAGGUGGAGAUUACACCGACAAGGACAUUGGAAGAAGCUCGUGAUACAUUGUGAAGGGUUAUCUAUUAUCAAAAUAUACGGCAUUGCUGAAGAAAACGAUGGCAAUAUAUAAUUCCAAUAAAGAAUAGCGGUUGCCGAGGUUAGCACCGAGCCACCAAAGUGGCAAUCGGGGUCUGCCUUCUAUGUAACAAUGGUGGCAAAAACAAUUCCUUGUAGGGGAAUAUAGCCUUUGUAGUACAAGGUAAAAGUUGAUGAACCAGAUGUAUAUAGAGUAUGUUGUAGUUAGAAAAAUUGGAACGCAACAUCUCUGUAGAGAGAUUUUGGUUACUUUCAGACAUGUUUGUGUCUGGGUUUUUAUUUUUUAAAGCUUGGAAACAUCAGCAAAAGAGCAGGUUUUUCAAGCUUGAAAAGCCAACAGUGGAGUGGUUCAAAGUCAACUUUUAAACCUCUAUUUGUGUUCAUUAUAUUUACAAUUAAUAAUUUAAAAUAUUUAUUUUUAUUUAUUUGACUUUUUAAUUACUUCAUUAAUUUCCAUUCUUCACUAAUUAGUACAUUAAUCCGGUUUAAUUGGUCUAUAUCAAUACGUGGAUCAAUUAAUUUUCGCUUUGUUUUAGACCAAAUCAAUAGUUUUUAGUUCGAUUAAUUCAACCGAUUAAUUAAUUUUUGAUUCGAUUAAUAAAUUCAAGUAAUUUUAAACUUAAUUCAUGAUCCUGUCUUUUCUUCAAAAGGAAAGUCAUUGAAUCCCAUGAAAAUAUAAUCUCAAAUGAUCCUUUAUAGCAAGGACUUUAAAUGCUAAGUUACUAAACCAUGGCCCCCCUUGAUUCCAUGUCUAAUACCCUAAUCCGAUUUUUUUGCCUUAGAGAAAAUUAACUUUAGAGCCCUUUUAAAGUGAUCCUUUGAUAAUUUGGCCCCAAAAAAGGUUAUCCUUUGAUAAAAAAAGGGGUAAAAAGAUCAGAUCAUGAUGAAUAAUGAAACAUUGAUGCUUGCCUUUUCUGCAGUUGCAGGACAACAUUAAUGUCUUGUUGUCGACUUAUCUAUUAAGCGGGGCCCCGGUCCUUAAUUAAUUUGAUCUUGCUUGGAAUCCAUUUUAAUUCUGUUUUUUUUUUCAAAUUAGAAAUAUUAUUUUGCAAUUCGAUUAAUUUGAAUUUAAAUUCGAUUUAAUUUUGUUAAUAUAUAAUACUAACGAGGGUGAAGAAGGUGAGGAGUGGGAUGGUGAUGACGAAGGUCAAUUCGCCUUCACCAAGGCUGAGAGAUAAAAAAGUGGGGGCUCAAGUGGAGGAGGAUGAGAGCUUAAUGUGUCAGGGUUUUGAGAUAGAAGAAGAGUCCCCUACUAUGUUAUCUUGAGGUAUUUGUAGAAGAGUGAUGGUUCUCGAGUGGCCCACUCUUGAUAAGACUGUACCCGUUAAUAGCAAGUGGCGUAACUGAAGGUCUAAUCUGAUGGUUAAUGGUGGAUGGUCCCUUUCAUGGGUUAUACGAGGCAUCCAAAUGGUAUAAGACAGAUGGUCACUCGCGAGUGCCUCUCCGGUUGAUUCUCAUGUUGCCACGUGUUCCUAUUGGGAUAAGGAUAUAACAAAUUAAUUUAAUCAUAAAAUGUGAAAAAAUCGAACUCGUCUAACCCAAAAUGACACAUGUUAUAAAUGAAUCAAACUUGAAAUGACCUAGAUGAAUAAUCUAAAAUGACCUUAACCUAAGAUGAUUCGAUCCAAAAAAAAACCUAAACCUAAAAUGGACAAAUCAUUAAUAGUUUGAACUCAAAAUAACUUUAACUCAAAAUUGACCUAAACACGAAAUAAUAGCGUUGAUAUAAAGGAUCGAAUGUGUUCAUUGAGGAUGAUUCUCACAAUAACCAUGCGGAGACUAGUAAACAAUGGUAGUUAGAAGAAGGAAGAAGAAACCAAUUUGGUAGAAUAAUGGUCCCCAACUGCCACAUCCCAUCAUUUAUAUCAAUGCUCUCAACAACAACAACAACAACAAAAAUUUUUGUAUCUAUAAAUAUGAAAUUUUUAAAUAUUAAAUUGACUUGAAUCGAAUUUAUUUUUUUUUCAAAAAAAAUUAAUUUAUUCGAUUGAUCAUUCUGAGAGAGAUAUAUUUGAAUUGUCAUCCUAGUCCUUAGUCAUAAUUAUAGACAAGGGUGAAACUAAAAUAUCCUUUUAGGGGCUAAAGUAUAAUUUUAACAUUAUACCAUUUGGGGAAGGGAUUAAGGCCAUUGCCUAUAGAAGUAUCUUCUCAGUUUUCAUAAAGAAUGAAGAUCAAAUUUUAAUAAAUUAAAAUAGGAGGAUUAAAUUUUGAAAAAUUUAGAGUCUUUUUUAUGCAUUUUGAUGGUUCAAGUAUCUAAUUGAGUGCAAAAAAAAUAGGGGUUUAAUUGUUUUUUUUAAAAAUUUGAGGGUAUUUUUGAUACAUUUUAAAAGUUCAAGUACAGAAUCAAAUACAAAAAAAAGGGCAGAGCUUAAUUGCUUUUUUUUUUAAAGUUUGAAGGCCUUUUUGAUUCAUUUUGAAAGUUCAAGUACCCAAUUGAGUAUAAAAAAAUAUAGGGACUUAAUUGCUUUUUUUUUUAAAAUUUGAGGGGUUUUCACACGUGCAUUUCCUAAUUUGGUUAUCAUGCUUACUAAUUCACGUUAAUGGGAAUCAACGGUUUGGAUCUCUUAGCUACGAGUCCAUUUAAUAAGGACCUACAUCAAAUCUCACCUUUACAAUUUAGUCUCCGUAUUAUUUAUAAAAUAAUUUAAUAUAUUUUAUUAUUAGCUAAUUUCAUUCUCAAACUAUGUAUAACUCGUAAUCUUUUCAUUUUAAUUUUCUAAACAUCUCGACUUAUCAAAUUUGAUUUCGAAAUUGACAUUUCCGGCACUGAAGAAAAUCAGAUCAUUACAAUAAUUUUUCUUAAAAUUUAUUAUAAUCCUUAAUCACCAUUUAAAAUUCAAAAAAAAAAAAGUUUGAGCAACAAUUUUAUUAUUUGGAAUACUUACAAAAUAAUAUUUCUAUGUCGACAACAAGACAUUAAUGUUCUCCAACAAAAGGCAAGCAUCAAUGUCUCAUUAUUCACCAAGACUUGACCUUUUUACCCUUCUAAUGUUUUAAAUUUAUUAUCAUGCAACUAAGUAAAAUUGUACAAACACAAUAUCUCGACCAAAAAUAAAUACUAAAACAAUAUCAAAGCAUCAUUAUAAAUAAAGGUUAAAUUAUUAUUUGGGGUCCAAGGCAAAAAAAAAAAAAAACUACAUUGAGGUCUAAAUUUUUUGGUAUCCAGGUUAGUUCUCGAACUUAGUAAUUGUUCCCAUAUUAAGGAGUGAUCUAGACAAUUUUUCUCUCACAUUAGGACUAAAAUUUUUUAUUCAAAUUAGUCCUUGAACUUGACAGUUAUUCUCACAUCGAGAGCCUGAACUUUAGGGUUUUCAAGGAAAUAUUAUAGACCAACUUGGACCAAAAAUAAUUCAAGCCCCAAUACACGAACAAUUGCCAAGUUCAGGACUAACUUGGACAAAAAAAAAAGUUCAAGCCCCAAUGAGAAAAAAUUGCCAAGUUCAGAAAUUAUUUUGGACAAAAAAAAGUACAAGCCUCAAUGUGGAUGUAGUUGCAAAGUUUAGACCCCAAAAAAUGACUUAACCCUUAUAAAAAAAGGGUAAACUACUAGUUGGUCAUCCAACUUUUAGAGUGCUUUCAUUUUAGUCACCCAAGCAUUAAAUCUCUAACGGCGAUUAACUGUACACACCACAUCAUGUUUACACUUUCAUUUUGGUCACCCAAAAAUAUUUUUUUGAAGUAUUGAUUGGGGUAAAAAAAUCAAGGAUUAAAGUGAAAAAGCGAUAGAAACUAAAAUAAUACAUAAAAUAGUCAAAUUCAACUUGUUUAUCCCAUUGCCGAAAUUCUAAUUUUCAUUUUUUUAAUAUUGAAAUUUUAAAUUUUAAAACAUUAAAAUAAAUUGUUGAAUUUAUUUUAUCCAUUGAUAAUAUCACCUGAUUUGUUACUAUAAUAUUAAAAUUAAUUAAUUUAAUCUCCUUUUAAAAUUUUAUUUUAUACUUCUAGAUUAUCCUUAACGAAAUCAACUCAAAUAACUCAUUAUUUAAUAAUUGUCUAAUAAAUUGUUAAAUUUCUUUUGAUUAUACGAUAUCAGAUCUUCUAUACUAAGCUAAAAGUAAAGGAAAAAUACUUGUAAUUAAUUAAAUUAAUUGUUUGUUAUUCGUUUAGGUAAAGAACUAAUGAAAAAAUUACGAGUUUUGUUUGGAAUGAAAGAUAAAAUUAAUUAAUUUAAUUAAUUGCAGGGAUUUUUUUUCUUUGCUUUUAGCUUACCACGGAAGAUUCAAGAUUAUAUAAUUAAAAAAAAUUUGAGUUUCGUAAACAACUAUUAAAGAUAAUCAUUUUCAUUGAUAAUUUUUGACAAAUAAUUUCAAAAAAUCAAAAUAAAUUAAAUAAAUUGUUGAAAAGAAUUUAUCCUUUGAUAAUGUCAACUACUUUGUUAUGAUAAAUUUUGAAUCUUAAUAUUUAAAAUUUAUAUUUCAAAAUCCAAUUUUAGAAUGUUCAGCAAUGAGAUAAAUAAGUACAAUUUCACAAUUUUUUGUAUUUUUUAGUUUCUACCACUUUUUGUAUAAUUUGACCUAAAAAUUAAGUGACCAAAAUAAAAGUAAUGUGUCCGUUAGAAAUUUAACGCUAGAGUGAAUAAAAUAAAAAUAUCUUAAAAAUUGGAUAUUCAAUUAGGCAAUUUACCCUAUAAAAUCACUUUAAAAGGCUUGUAAUUUAAAUAAUAAUAUUUUGAAAAACUCCUUUUUUUUAUUUAUUUAUAAAAGCAUCACCUUAAAAAAGCUCUAAAGAUAAUUUUCCCAAUUGCAAAAAGUCAGAUUGGGGAGUUUUGGACAAUAGAAUCAAGGGGGGGCCAUGGUUCAAUAACUUAGCAUUUAAAAUCCUAACUAGAAAGGAUCAUUUUAGAUUACAUUUUCAUGGACUUUUUUGAAGACUUGAGAAGGUGGAGAUAAUAAUAAAUUACUCCUUUUAUAAUUAUUUGAUUAAAAAAAUUCUUAAUCCGAAUAAUAAAUAAUUCAAAUUUAAAAUUGAUCGGAUCUAUAUUAAUCUUUUUUAAAAUAAAUGAUUUAUUUUUCCUUAAUAAAAAUUAGUAUUUUUAGAAAUAAUCAGUUUGAUUGAUUGAACCAAUUACGCUAAGAAUAAAUUAGUAUGCCGUUGAUCUUUAUACAAAAAAAACUGAUAUUUUCAAAAUAAAAUUAGAUUGAUUAGUCAAACCAAUUGAACCCAAAACAAAAUUUCUAUUGAUUGUCGCAAUCUCGUUCCAAAUCAAAUAGAAAAUCGAUGAUCUAAUUGAUACCCGCAAAUCCCCUUUCUUGUUUCCCAAUUGAUGGAAUUGUGAGAUGGAAAUUCAUAAAGUAAUUAAAAUGUCAAAUAAAUAAAACAAACAAAUUGAAAUUAUUAAUUGCAAAUAAAAUGAACACAAAUACAGAAUGGUUUAAAAGUUGACUUUGAACUCUUAAUCCAAGCCCAAUAAUCAUAUCAGAAUCAAUCAAAAUCCCACCAUUUAAACCAAUUUACCACUCCACUGUGAAAAGCUUGGAAAAAACCUGCUCUUUUGCUGAUAUAUCCAAGCUUUAAAAAGAAAACCAGACACAAACAUGUCUGAAAGUAACCAAAAUCUCUUUCUAGAGACGUUGUGUUCCAAUUUUUCUAGCUACAACAUACUUUAUAUACAUCUGGUUCAUCAACUUUUACCUUGUACUACAAAGGCUAUUUAUACCCCCACAAAGAAGUCCUUUUCGCUGCAUUUGUUAGGUAGAAGGCAUACCCGGAUUGCCUCCUUGAUGGCUCGGUGCUACCCUCCAUAACGGCUAUUCUUUAUCGGAAAUUAUAUAUUGCCAUUGUUUUCUUCUGCAAUGCCGUAUAUUAAUGUAUCACGAGCUUCUUC
rnacentral:lncRNA from 1 species